UAGUUGCAACUCUUGGACAGAGCUCUAGGUGAUUAAUAAGUCGACAGAGUCAAUUAAGGAUCCCAAUGUGCGGUAGUAGCUAGUCUUGAAUAACAUGCACGAGACUCGGUUCUUAAGGACGGUCCCAAUGAGACAACCCGCCAUGUACUCCGACACAACCUCUCAUCGGUACCUUUACCAAAUCAGGUUCACACCUUUACUCUCACACUGUGGGGCAUGAACACAGCUAUUCUGAUUCAUCAUCUAGAUGGAUCAGACCCGACGCAACACUAAGCAUAGCAGGCACAGUUAGAAAGCAUGGAUGAGUAGCACAUCAAGGCUCAAGCAGUUUCUACUUAUGCUAAGUGGUUUCAACUAUUUACUAUGGCAAAAUCAGGUCAUGCAGAGGAAUGGGUUCAACUAUCGAGAAUAAAUAACAGUUGAAUCGUUGCUGUCCUAAUGCAAUAAAAGAGACCAGGAGCGAGAGAGUAGGAUUUUAUUGGAAUGUUCAAGGGGGGUUUGCUUGCCUGACAGUUCUGAAGAUAGCAAUGAGUCUUCAUUAAUGUCAACGAUCACGUCGUUGGAACCAUUGUCUACUGAGAGGGAACAAAACCGACAAAACAAGAAAGGAGCACAUUCAAUGCAAUGCAACAAACAUGAUGUAUGAUAUGUCAUGUUAAAGCAUUGAAUUGACCUAGUGGAAAGGAUAGUCACAUUAAGUGAAGUGGAAUUCAAUAAUAAAUCAAAUACCAACUCCAACACUAUUUAUCAAAUUGUCCUAACCAUCAUUUUCCCUACUUGGUGAUGUUAACUUGUUCAAACAUGCAUGAACAUACCAUAAACAGAUUCAUUGCAUUAUUUUGAUCAUUUUUCAUAUAUUAUUUAUUUAAUUUGGAGUUAUAUUUUAUUUUUUAUGAUUUUUAGAAGUUUGGGAUAUUUUAUGGAAUUAUUUUUAUAUCAUAAAAUCAUUUAUUGCGUCAUGGUGAUGUCAUCAAGUUAAACGUGCGUGGGCCACGUCAAACUGACCAGUGGGGGCCACUGGUCAGUGACCCACUGGCUAAUCCCAUGCUGACCCGCCCCUAAUGGGGUUUGACCCACCCCCAGGGCCCACUUUCAUCGACUAAUGGGGUGGGGAUUUGGUCCUAAUGACGUCCACGUCGACCCACACCGGAGGGUGGUCACCGGCGACCAUAGCCACGGAGGAGGGCUCAUCGAAGAUGGCUUAGAUGGCGCUACAAAGCACGGUUUCGAGAGCGGUUUGCGGCUAUGCGAAGCUAGCGAAGUGGCCGAUAUAGCAGAGGCAACGGGAGGAGCUAGGGUAGCUGGAGAAGGCAUCGAUGACAAGGCGCGCGGCGGCCGGAGUUCGGGUUCUUCGGAACCGGCGCUAGAGGGGACGAACGACCGCGGCGAGAGGGGGAUGGAAACUACAACUCACAGCGGAUCCAGGGGCGCAGACGGUGGGCUCAGCGACGUGUUGUGGCCGACGAAUCGACGAGAGAGGACUGGCGGACGGAGGUGAGGAAGACGGUGGCGAUGGCGGCGCUCCGAGGCCUUCGAGAUCGAUUCCGGUGGUGAGGAGGAGUAGGGCGACGGGGCGGUUCCAUUGGCCACAAAAGAGAGGCGAGGGGUGGCUGGAGGCUACGUGGACGACGGUGGCCUGCUCGAGCAGAGCUCGGCCAAGGAGAGGGGAAGGCGAUGCAGAGCGCGGGAAGAAGAGAGAGGGGUCCACAGGGUGCGUGGCGUUGUCUAAGAGCUCCAGGGCUAGCCACACAAGCAUGGAGGAGCUGGCCUCGUCGGCUGUGGCAUGCUGGACAGCGAGCUGCUUCUCCUUCUGGCAUAAGGUAGAAGAAGCUCUCGCUGAUGGGCUCCGCCUUAGGUGAGAGCGAGGUAAGUUUCCUCCUCUGUUUUUAUUUUUUUGUUAUUUCUUGUUUUAUAAUUUAUGUGAUAUAUUUUGAAUUUAUUUUUACAAUCAAAUCAUUUUUAUAGCUUCUGAAAAUUAUUAUGUGGCUUGAUGAUAUAUAUUCAUAGCCACUCACCAAUUUUCAGAAUUAUUGGAAUUAUAAUUCUCUUGUAGCAAAAUUAUAUCCAACUCAAAUAACUAUUAAUUUAAUUCAAAGUCCGAAAUAAAUGCUUUUGUGAUUCCAAAAAUAUUCAUUUGAAUUUUACCUCAUGUCAAUAUUUUAUCGGAAUACCAUGGACAUUUUCUUGGACUUCUUUGAAGCAAUUUUUAUCUUGGUCAUUUGACAAAAUUCUUUGUGAGGCUUGAUCAUACCUCAAUUCAAAUUCAUUUGAAUUUAAAAAUGCAUGCAUGAGUAUGCAAUGGCAAGCAAUGCUAAACUAGGGUUGUGACAAUGGACUAGAGGGGGUGAGUAGGAUAUUUUUACAAAUUCGUCAUUGAGGAAUUACUCGUUGAGUAAAUUACUUAGCAACGAUACACAAGAGCGAAAUAAGUACUCAAGUGCAUGCAGAACAUAGCAACAGCAUAUUCAUAAAUAUGAACUGAAACAUACACAUAGAUCAGAUAGCGUGUAACUAGGAUAAGCAGGUGAAGAACAAGGUGGUUGAAGAUUUUGAGAUGAGGAAAUUAAGAAAGUCUUCAAUGAGAGUCUACAAGUAGUAAUGAUCAAUUUCAUCGACAAGUACUUGAGGAAUAGAUGAGUUGAGGAAAUAGAACCAGGAUCUCGAUGAAGACAAUGGUUUGAUGACCAAGUUCCAACUGUUGUGACAGUUGUACGUCUAGUUUGGAGCAGCUUCGUAUUUAAACCAAAGGACACACAGUCCUAGGACACAUAGUCCUUACCGUAUUCUCCUUGAGCAAAGGUCGCACAAACUUCGCCCAACACUCGUGGUAACUCUUCACGGGAGACUUCCAAACCCUCACAAACUCGGUCACCCGGCAAUCCAUAAUUUACUCCUGGAUGCUCUAGACCAUUGAUGCCUAACCAUCUGAAAGAUAUAGUCUUCAAAGGUAACAAGCGUAGGUUCCACACAAGAACAAUCUCUUUAGUGAUGCUCAAUCCCUUUGGGUUUUGGUUUUGGUUUGGGUGUUUGGGUUUUUCCUCACAGAUGAUUUUCUCUCAAAGUCCUCAAAGGAUGGUAUGCUCUCAUAUAACAAGUGUCAAGUCCUCUCUCACAGAAGCCAACCAGCUACUUGUUAUAGGGUCGGCUAUUUAUACCAUGGGAGCAGUCCCAACAUGAUACGGUAUAAAUGCACCCUAAUGAUAUGGCCAUUAUGUGGAUAAGGUUUUAGGACAGCUGGCGCAAGGCACAACAAUGGUCGGAAUUUUUGAACUAUGAAAAUCCUCAGAUAUAUCAUGUUCCUCACUUAUAGGCAAUUCGCACUAGCGAAAUCCUAAGUCCUCGGUCAAAACAAUUUCCUCAAAGACCAGAAGAGCUUUGUCUCCGUUACUGAAUAAAAUGUCUGAACUGCAAGAGAUUUCCAAAGGCUUCACUUGAAGGAUUCAUUAUGUGUGGCUUUGAGAUGAGCAUCACUUAGAAAUUUUUCCUUAGCAUUACCUCAACGCCCUUUAACAGUAUGGUGUUCCUAUGACUCAAUUCCUAUGACUCAACAGAAAGAAAAUGAGACUAUGGAAGCAGAAGUCUUCACACUUCAAAGUCCUCGUAUCAAUAUCUUCAAGGAUACACCAAUUUCCUUACUUUCAAAAUCUUCAAUAAAGUAUUAAAGUCUUUAGUUGGAGACAUUCAUUUUUAGGGGUCGACUUUCUUCGAUUAUCUCAAACUCCUCGGCGACUUAUAGAGCUUGUGUACACUCACAAACAUAUUAGUCCCUUAACCUAUAAGUCUUAAAUACAUCAAAAUCACUAAGGGGCACUAGAUACACUUACAAAAACAAAAACGCAGAUCACAAGCAUCAUGAAGGAUUUCUGGAGCCGCUAAUGGGGAGUAUCACCAACCUACUAUUAAGUAACUACUUACAAAUUAUCAUUCACUUGUUCCACUCUCUACUUGCCUAGCAUGCUAUCUUUAUCAUUGUCACACAAAAACAAAAAGUAAAAAAAAUUAAGAUAAAUUUAUCCUCAUCCACUUGCGAAUCUUUUCAGAAGACCCGAUUAUGUUGAACCAAUUGCUAGUGAGUUUAGUGCACUAGAUGAUCUUUAUAAGGUCUUGCUUGAAAAUUGUGAAUAUGAAAAUUGUGAUGAAGUGUUAAAAGAAAUUUUAAAAGUGAUUCAGGAUAAUUCCUUCAAUGAAAAGCAUGAUUGCAAGCAAGGUUCUCAGAAUCAUGAUUUUGGAUCGGAUCGGAGCUCUGAUGGCAGGAUCGCAAAUCAUAGAAUCUUCACUAUCAGGAUUGUAAAAGCUUAAAUUCUCUGAACCAAAAUCAUAAUAUCAGAGGAGUUUUUUCGGGUCAUAAAGUCCUAGAAUCGUAAAACAGAAUCAUGAUUCUAACAACCUUGAUUUCAAGGUUGUUAGUAUAAAUUCUAUGGCUAUCAAUUGUGCUAAUGAUCAUAAUUGGUGUGAUAAUCAUGAUGUUUAUUUUGAUAUCGAUAAUUCUAAGCUUCAUGAUAAAUAUAUUAAGUAUUCUAAUAUUUGCAAUACUACUAAGAGUGGGUUUGGAAGAGCGNNNNNNNNNNNNNNNNNNNNNNNNNNNNNNNNAAGAGCGUCAACUUUAGGUAAUAAUGAUCCCAUUAUUUUGGAGAAUGAUAUAUCCUAUGAAUUUUUUGAUAAAAGUGGGUUUGGAGAGGUCAUGACUUAUGUUGGUGUUAAUCCCACUAUCUUGGAAUAAUAUAAAAUGUGUAUGCAUGUGGAUCAUAAAUAGAAUGUUUAUAUGAUAGUUAUAUAGUUGAGCGUGAUUAUGAUCCUACAUGCAAUUAUUAUGAGAGAGGAAAGUAUGGUUACAGGAAUCUGCAUGUUACUAAAUUACCUCUCUUUGUGUUGAAAUUGCCAAUGCUUCGUUCUUCCUACUUGUAUAUGAUAGACACUUAUUAUCUUCAUAAAUUGUUUGCUUAUACAAUUCCUAUGCAUAGGAAGUAUGUUAGACUUAAAUGAGCUUAUCACAUGUUUUACGANNNNNNNNNNNNNNNNNNNNNNNNNNNNNNNNNNNNNGACGCUCUCUUUGUGCUUCAAUUCUUGUCUUUUAUGUAAGCAUCAUUAUUAUCCCAAGCCUAUCUUCAUGGCUAUAAAGAAAGAGAUUGUUCAGAGACAACCCAAUGCUUUAUGUUUGUGUGUGAUAACAUGGUUUUCGCCUCUGUAACUAUUAUUAUUUUAUGUUUAAAUUAGUGUGUGUUCCAAGUAAAUCCUUUAGGAUGAUUUGAAUGAUAGUGGAAUAGAUGCGGUGCAAAAACAGAAACUUUAGCAUUGAGUGCAUAAUUUCUCUUAUUUUACUGGAACGUCUUUUUUAUCUAUAUUUUUUCACAAUAUUUUUAUAUAAAUUCUGCAGGUAUUCCUAAGUUUUAAGAAAUUUUGAAGUCACAUAAGUAUGGUACUUAACUAUAUCAUUACACAGUGUUCUGUUUUAGACAGAUUAUGUUUUUUGCUUGCCAUAGUUUGCUUGUUUUGGUGAUGUCAUGGAUUGUAUCGGGGGGUAUAAUUCAUGGAGAAAUUAGAAUACACUACCUUAUGCAAUAAUAAAAUAUUAAUCAAUUUAUAGCAGUAUCUAAAGUAUUUGAUAUGUUUAUUAUACUAACGGAUCUAACGAUGUUUCUUUUGAGUUUUUUGUACUGAAGUUUUCAAGUUUUAGGUGUUAUCACGAUGGAUGAAGGAAUAAAGACAGGCAAGUGCCUAAGCUUGGGGAUGCCCAAGGCACACCAAGGUAAUAUUCUAGGAAGACUCAAGCAUCUAAGCUUGGGAAUGCCCAAGAAGGCAUCCCCUCUUUCGUCUCAAUCCAUCGGUAUGUCACUUGGAGCUAUAUUUUUAUUCAUCACAUGAUAUGAGUUUUGCUUGGAGUGUCAUUUGCUUUAGUUUGUUUUUGUUUUAGUUUUCCACAACCAUUGUUAUCUGAAUACACCGACUUGAGAGAGACACAAGAUCACCAUGAUUUAUUAGAAUACUUUAUGCGCUUCACUUAUAUCUUUUGAGCUUAGUAGUUGCUCUAGUGCUUCGCUUAUAUAUUGUAGAGCACAGUGGCGUAUAGAUUUUAAAGAAACAAUUUCACUCUAGUUCUUCACUUAUAUUUGUUUGAGAGUUAAUAAACAGCGACGCUAAUUUGCAUGGGUUAUAAGACUAGUCCAAAAAUAAUAGGUAUUCAAUGAGUGCAUAAUCCAAACCACACGUAGCACAUAAAAGAGAAAUCAUGGUUAAUGAUAUUAAUGUGGUAAUGUGAAAAAACAUAUGUGCAUGAUCAUUGGUUAAUAUAGAAGUAUCAUGAAUUAAAGGUUGUUAACUUUCAGUUCAUCCAAAUAUUUUUAUGGCAUGGUGAUGACAUGAGACCAUACUUAUUCCUCGUUGAAAUCCUAGUGUUGUUUAAGUCGAGGGCGCGUGAUAGUUAACUUCUACCAACCUCCUCCCUUGAGGUGUGCGAGUAGUGCUUUGCUUCGAGAGAGCUAAUAAAAUCUUGCAAUAAGUAUGUGAGAUCUCUUUGACUAAUGUGAAUCCAUAGAUACACGCACUCUCACCUCCACAUAUUUGCUAGCCUCUUUGGUACCGUGCAUUGCACAUUCUCACCUCGAGGAUUGGUGCAGCCUUCGCCGGUGCAUCCAAAACCCAUGACAUGAUACACUCUGUUGUUGUCGGAAUUGGGGCUCCGAGGACCUAAAGAGGUUCGAACUCUGGGGUGUGCUGGUUCCCCCGCCCUGCUCUACCUCGUAACCUCACGACGACACUCCGGCGUGCUUGAACUAAGGAAGAAGAACAUUGGACAUGGAAGUUUACCCAGGUUCAUGCCACCUUGUGAUAUAAAACCCUACUCCAGCUUGUCUGGAUUGCUUGAGGGUGAGAGAGAGUACAAAGGUGGGUUCUGGCUAGCUCCGGGUCAAUCCCCUUCUACGACGGUAGCCUGCCCUAUAUUAUACUAGCCCCUGUCCUCUUCCUGUGAAAACACAAGGCGGGAAGGGUUGCCACAACGGCAAGAUUGAAGGGGGCAGGAUUGUGGCUUAUCCUAACAAAAGUAGUAUUCGCGUGCAAAAGCCUCUUGUUGUGAUGCGCUCGUGGGCUCGGGGAUGACCUCCGCCCUGGAGAGCCCCGAGCCUUGGUAUUCUUGCACCAAGUGGGAAACCUUUGGAGAUUGCUUUGGGGAUUGGCGAGCUGGCCCUGCUCCCUUAGCACAAAAGAGGAAAUCCUCCUCAUUUGAGCCUGCUGGCAUGGCUCCUGGAGCUUCUCGGCAUGGCGUUCUACCUGAGGAAAGGGUGAUGCAGAGAAGUAGAUAAGUAUUUCCCUUGGUUUGUUGAGAACCAAGGUAUCAAUCCAGUAGGAGGAACAAGCAAGGCCCCAAUAGUAGUACCUACACAAACAAUCGAACACUUGCACCCAACGCUAUAAAGGGGUUGUCAAUCCCUUCAGAGUUAUUUGCAAGGAUGAGAUAUGAUAGAGGUAGAUAUAAAAGAUUGCGGAAACAAAAGUAAACAAUUGCAGCAAAGUAUUUUUGGUAUUUUUGGUUUAUAGAUCUGAAAAUAUAAUAUGGAAAAUAGACCGACGGGCCAUAGAUUUCACUAGAGGCUUCUCUCAUAAAGGAAAACAAUACGAUGGGUGAACAAAUUACUGUCGAGCAAUUGAUAGAAAAGAAAAUAAUUAUGAAGAUAUCCAAGGCAAUGAUUAUGCAUAUAGGCAUCACGUCCGUGUCAAGUAGACCAAAACGAUUCUGCAUCUACUACUAUUACUCCACACAUCGACCGACUACUGUCUGCAUCUAGAGUAUUAAGUUCAUGAAGAACGGGGUAAUGCAUUAAGUAAGAUGACAUGAUGCAGAGGGAUAAACUCAAGCAAUAUGAUGAAAACCCCAUCUUUUUAUCCUCUAUGGCAACAAUACAAUACAUGCCUCGCUACCCCUACUAUGUCACUGGGUGAGGACAGUGCAAGAUUGAACCCAAAACUAAGCACUUCUCCCAUUGCAAGAAUUACCAAUCUAGUUGGCCAAACCAAACCAGUAAUUCGAAGAGACUUGCAAAGAUAUGAAAUCAUGCAUAUAAUAAUUCACAAGAGACUCAAAUAAUAUUCAUGGAUAAUCUGAACAUAAACUCACAAUUCAUAGGAUCUCGACAAACACACCGCAAAAGAAUAUUACAUUGGAUAGAUCUCCAUGAAGAUCAUGAAGAACAUGGUAUUGAAGAUCAAAGAGAGAGAAGAAGACAUCUAGCUACAAACUAUGGACCCGUAGGUUUGUGGUGAAGUAUUCAUGCAUCAUCGGAGGGGCAAUGGAGUUGAUGUAGAUGCCCUCCGUGAUCAAUUCCCUCUUCGACAGAUUAGCGAAAAAGGCUCCCAGAUUGGAUCUCAUGGGAACGGAGGCUCCCAGCGGCGUAAAAGUAUUUCGUGGCUCCCUUUGGCGAUACAGGAAUAUUUGGGAAUUUAUAGGCCAAAGAAUAGGGUUAGGAGACCUGUAGGGGAUCCACCAGCCAGGGGGCGCGGCCAACCCCCUAGGGCGCACCCUGCAGGCUUGUGGCCUCCCGACAAAUGUCGUGCCCCUAAGUCUGCUGCGUUUCUUCUGGUCCAAGAAAAAUCAUUCCGGAGAUUUUAUUCCGUUUGGACUCCGUUUAAUAUUCCUUAUUUGUAAUACACUAAAACAUGGAAAAAUAGAAACCGGCACUAGGCUCUAGAUUAAUAGGUUAGUCCCAAAAAUAAUAUAAAACAACAUAUAAAACAUCCAAAGCAGAUAAUAUAAUAGCAUGGAACAAUCAAAAAUUAUAGAUACGUUGGAGACGUAUCAAGCAUCCCCAAUCUUAAUUCCUGCUCGUCCUCGAGUAGGUAAAUGAUAAAACAGAAUUUUUUAUAUGGAAUGCUACCUAACAUAUUUAUCCAUGUAAUAUUCUCUAAUGUGGCAUGAAUAUUCAGAUCCAUAAGAUUCAAAACAAAAGUCUAAUACUGACAUAGAAACAAUAAUACUUCAAGCAUACUAAUAAGGUAAUUGCUUCCUUUCGAAAUAGCAUGGUCUUAGAAAGUUAUCCCUACAAAAUCAUAUGGUCUGGCUAUGAUCCAUCUUCACCACACAAAGUAUCUAAGUCAUGCACAACCCCGAUGGAAAUCAAGCAAUUGUUUCACACUUUUUAUGUUCUCAAAAAUUUGCAACUCUCACGCAAUACAUGAGCGUGAGCCAUGGAUAUAACACUAUAGGUGGAAUAGAGUGUGGUGGAGGUUGCAAAAAAAGGAGAAGAUAGUCUCACAUCAACUAGGCAUAUCAAUGGGCUAUGGAGAUGCCCAUCAAUAGAUAUCAAUGUGAGUGAGUAGGGAUUUCCAUGCAACAAAUGCACUAGAGUUGUAAGUGUAUGAAAGCUCAAAAAGAAAACGAAGUGGUUGUGCAUAAGAUGUAAUUCCACUAGUUAUAUGAAAGUGACAAAAUAGGAGACUCUCUAUGAAGAACAUGGUGCUACUUUGAAGCACAAGUGUGGAAAAAAAUAGUAGCAUUGUCCCUUCUUUUUUUUCUCAUUCGUUUUUCUUUUUUUCUCUUUUUCGGUGGGCUUCUUUGUUCUCUUUUAUUUUAUUUUAUAGGCUUUGUUGGCCUCUUUUAUUAUUUUUUCGUAAAGUCCUGAGACUCAUCCCAACUUGUGAGGGAAUCAUAGCUUCCAUCAUCCUUUUCUCACACGGGACAAUGCUCUAAUAAUGCAAAUCAUCACACUUUUAUUUACUUACAACUCAAAAGAUUACAACUCGAUAUCUAGAACAAAGUAUGACUCUAUAAGCAAUAUGGAAGUGAUGGUGCGUGUCAUAAAAAAAUGAGACGGUGGUGUUGUAUGGCAAUAUAUCUCGGAAUGGCUAUGAAAAUGCCAUAAUAGGUAGGUAUGGUGGUUUUUUUGAGGAAAAUAUAUGGUGGAUGUUUUGAGGAAGGUGGGUUUAAUGUACCAACGAGAGUUGCGCGGUACUAGAGAGGCUAGCAAAGGUGGAUGGGUGAGAGUGUGUAUAAUCCAUGAACUCAACAUUAGUCAUAAAUAACUCAUAUACUUAUUGCAAAACCCUAUUAGUUAUCGAAGCAAAGUAUUAGACGCAUGCUCUUAGGAGAAGGGUUAGUAGGAGUUAACCAUCGUGCGAUCCCGACCUCCACCCAAAGGUUGACAAUCAUUAAACAAAUCAUGCUCCGACUUCAUCACAUAACGGUUCACCAUACGUGCAUGCUACGGGAAUCACAAGCUUUAACACAAGUAUUCCUUCCAAUUCACAAUUACUUACUAGCAUGACUCUCAUAUUACCAUCUUCAUAUCUCAAAACUAUAUGCAAUGAAUCAAACUUCUCAUCAUAUUCAAUGCACUUAAUAUGAAAGUUUUUAUUAUAUCCCUCUUGGAUGCCCAUUAUAUUAGGACUAAAUUCAUAACCUAAGCCAAUUACCAUGUUGUUUAAAGAACUCUCAAAAUAAUAUAAGUGAUGUACGAGGGUUUAAUAAUUUCUAUAAAACACAACACCGUCGUGCUCUAAAAGAUAUAAGUGAAGCACUAGAGCAACAUUGCCUAGCUCAAAAGAUAUAAGUGAAGCACAAAGAGUAUUCUAAUAAAUUCACGAUUCAGUGUGUCUCUAUCAAAAGAUAUGUGUAGAAAGGAUGGUUGUAGGAAACUAAAAUGUAAAGACUCUUAUCAUACAAGACGCUCCAAGCAAAACACAUAUCAUGUGGUGAAUAAAAAUAUAGCCUCAAGUAAUUUUACCGAUGGAUUGAAGACGAAAGAGGGGAUGCCUUCUGGGGCAUCCCCAAGCUUAGGCUCUUUGGUAUCCUUGAAUACGGCUUGGGGUGCCUUGGGCAUCCCCAAGCUUUGGCUCUUGUCACUCCUUUUUCCAUAGUCCAUCAAAUCUUUACCCAAAACUUGAAAACUUCACAACACAAAACUCAACAGAAAACUCAUGAGAUCCGUUAGUAUAAGAAAUAUAAAUCACCACUUUAGGUAUUGUUGUGAACUCAUUAUUUAUUUAAAUUGAUGUAAUAUUUACUGUAUUCCAACUUCUCCGUGGAUUCAUCAAAAUAAGAAAACAACACAAAGAAAACAGAAUCUGUCAAAAAUAGAACAGUAUGUAGAAAUCUGUUUACUUAGAAUACUUAUAUAAGUCCAAAAACUCUGAAAACCUAGGAAAAUAUGGUAAAUUUGUAAAUAAAUCUUGUGUAAAAAUGCAGAUUAAAAUCAGGCUCCAGUGAAUUUACAAAAUUCCUGGACUGAGAGCACAAGUUUCUGUUUUUCAGCAAAAUCAACUUGCAAACACCGUAGACCAUCCCAAAGGUCUUACUUGGCUCAAACACUAAUUAAAAGAAGAAAACACAAUUAUUACAGAGGAGUGUGUUAAGCACACAAAAACAGAAGCAAAAACAAAAGCAUUAAAUAAAAUUGGGUUGCCUCCCAACAAGCGCUAUUGUUUAACGCCCGUAGCUAGGCAUGGUGAUUUCAAUGAUGCUCGCAUAAAAAGUAGUAAUUGAGAUAUGCAAAAGAGCAUCUUGAAUAGCAUGAAAAACACAUUUAAGUCUAACCCACUUCCUAUGGAUAGGGAUUUUGUGAGCAAACAAUUUAUGGGAACAAGAAUCAACUAGCAUAGGAAGGCAAAAGAAGCAUAACUUCAAAAAUUUAAACACAUAGAGAGGAAACUUGAUAUUAUUGCAAUACCUACAAGCAUAUGUUCAUCCCUCAUAAUGAAUUUCAGUAGAAUCAUGAAGGAAUUCAACAAUAUAACUAUCAUAUAAAAUUUUCUCUUCAUGGUCCACAUGCAUGCAAAGUUGACACUCUUCCAAAAGAGUGGGAUUAUCAUUAACUAAAGUCAUGACCUCUCCAAACCCACUUCUAUCAAAAAAAUAUAAGAUUGAGCACUCUCCAAAAUAGUGGGAUCAAUAAUGCCUAAAGUUGACACUCUUCCAAACCCACUUUCAAUAUCAUAAUCAUCAAGAGUAUUAAAUAAAUUAUCAAGAUCAUAAGAAGUAUUAUCACCCCCAAUCAUGAUCGUUGCAAUAAGUAGUGGUCAUGGCAAACUCAUCAAAUAUAGCAUCCCCAAGCUUGUGGGUUUGCAUAUCAUUAGCACAAUUGAUAUUAAUAGAAUUUAUAGUAACGUCAUUGCAAUCAUGCUUUUCAAUCAAGGAGCUAUCAUGAAUCACUUUAUAAAUUUCUACUUUCAACACUUCAUCAAAAAUUUCAGAUUCAUGAUUUUCAAACAAAAUUGCCCACACACGUACGCCGCCACACCCGGGGAACCUCCCAGGGGGCGUGGGCGCCCUCCACCAGUGACCCAUUCUAGCUCAGGAAGUCGUGGAAAAAUCACAGCCCGCGGACGCGAACGCAAGGGGCGAGGCGGCCAUGGGUGGGGUAGGAGGAAUGACACAGCUACUCGGCCACCCCGGCCAUGGAGACACCCCACCGAUGCGGCCCGCGAGUUUAUAGUGGGGAUGGACAGCCAGCCCCACACCUGUCUCCGGCUCCUAGACUCCUUCGCAGAGGAGAUGGCGGAGCGCACACCCCCUGGCCUAUGGCUACAGCCGCACGACUGCUGCAAUGGAUCUUCCUGGGUGGCGAAAUAGUUCACUCCCUUUGGCUCAUGUUCUUGAAGCGGGGGUGGAAGUCGUUCGCUCUCACUCGCGGAUUGAAUGAGUGGAAUGUCCUCCACUUCAGGUUCGACGAGACCACCAUCUUUUCAUGACGAUCUUAGGGGAAGAUGACGACCGCCUGGGCUGCUGCAUGAAGAGCAACAACAAUGGUGGCAGCAGCUCCUCCGGUGAUGAUGGUAGGAGCAGCACUUCCUCCGAGAGAAGCUUGAGUGACGACUCCUCGAUCAUCCACGUCAAGAAGGAAGACUCUCACUAGGCGCAGGCAGUGCCAGAGUCAUAGUCCUCGAGGCGGUGCUAUCCGGGCCCGGUCCUUCCUCUUUUGCUUUUUGCUUUUUUCUUUCUGCAAUGAACCAUGUUGGCCCCGUGGGGGCAUGUAAGAAGAAUUAGGGCCCUUGCACCUUAGGUUUAAUUUUGUCGAAAAUGAGUUUUUUCUUAGGGCUUCUCGCUAGGCUUGUCCCCUUCUCUGUGGUCGCCUUAAUGCUUUGUGUCGCUAGGACCCAGCCCCCGAGAAGGACUUAGUCGUCGAUGUAUGUGAGGUCCCAAUGCCUAGGACAAGACCAGGAGGUGAGGGGCCCGAAGUCCGGUAAGAUCCCGUGAGGUGUCAUGCUCAGUAGGCCCCCCUUGAUGCACAAGCAGCUCACGCAAGAGAAGAUGCUUCCGCCUAGAGCGAGGUUGCGGGAAUAAGGAACACUACCAAAGAUCACCGAGUCGUGUGGGGCACUUAACUUAACUUUCCAGAGUGUGUCACAACGUGGUCGCGGCCUAUGAGAGGUUCACAUGGCAUGAGGGCGCAUCUUCCCAAAGUUCACUUCCUUAUCCCAUCUUCUAUCCAGGUACAUAUCAAUGUAAGCCCCGCGAGGCGUGCGUGAAAAAUUGCUGCCCUUUGCAACCAAUGCCUUUGCAAUUCAAACCAUGCGCCCACUUCUGAGGUCCCCUCACAGGGUUCUCCCCUUUUCCCUUGCUUUCUUAGGUGCUCUGCAUCAUCGGGACCUAGCCCUCGAGCGAGCCUCAGCUGUCGCUGGUAUGUCACGUCAUGGUGCUUGGACAAGGCCAGGAGGUGAGGGGAUCCGGGGGCUAGUUAAGGCUCCUGAGGCGCGAUGCUCAGGAGUCUCCCCUUGACGCGCAAGCGGCUCACGUGAGGGAAAAUGUUGGCAACAACGAGGCUGCCCCGGGGGGUUCUCAUACUUAGUCAUUUGCAAGGCCAAUAAUUUGUCGCUUUCCAGGCAUGCCUUGUGAGAUCUCUCGAGUGAUUCGUCCCGAGGAAAAAUCAUGCGCACAAAAGCUUCAUUUCGAAGGAUUGAAAGCUUGCACUUGGUUCUCAUGUGAGGAGAAAAGACACCAAGGUCCUUGGUGGGAUGACGUGCACGGGAACAGGCCCGUGAGCCAUAGCCCAGUCCCUUGGGUUUUCAACACUGUUGCGACUAACCCGAGCACACACACCAUGUCCAGCCCCCGCUCGCAUGAGGCUCAAGGGGAAGCCGGCGAGCGCGUGCCGCGGAAGAAAGCCAGCAGCUGCCGUGUCAAGAAGGCCUCACCCUGAGGUUGGUGCGGCCCGUGGGGCGGUAUCAGUUGACUAUCCACAAGCAUGGAGCAUGGGGCUUCCGCUUGGGCGUGGGCAUGGUCAUGGUUUGAUCGUUCUGCCGCGUGAGGCAUGGAACUUCCACUUGGGCAUGGGCAUGAUCAUAGUUCGAAUGUUCUACGAGCGCUGAGCAUGGGGCUUCCACUCGGGCGUGGGCAUGGUCAUAGUUCGAUCGUUCCGCCAGCGCUGAGCAUGGGGCUUCCAUUGGGGCAUGCACGAUAGCUCUAUUCCAGAGUCUCUGGGGCGUGUACAGCCCCAUUUCGUUCGUAUGUGUGGCAAGCAGGGCAAAACUGGUGCAGGUGUCGGAUGCUCCAGGCACGGGGCUCAGGAGCUCCUUCCUCGGUCCUCGGGCGGUUUGUGCCUAGUUCUUGACGCAAUUGUGUGCUCAUGUAACCUUUGACAUGGGGGUGACACGCGUCGGGUGACCAUCCAGAGGCCAUUGCACGAAGAGGUUGGACAUCGUGGACCCAAAUGAGGUGACAUGUGCGGGUGUGGACCACCAAACAGAGCUUGUUUACUCAGGUUUAGCAACGCUGCAUGGACGGACCCGAGCAUAGACGUCGUGUUGAGUUCCUCCAUGGAAUGAUCAAGGGAAAAGUCAUCGGACGCAUGGAGCCCGAGGUGGCGAAACACCAAACUAGCAAUCAUACAAAUUGGGUCACACCCUUACUUACUUACUCGCGACGAUUCCAUGAGAGGGCAAGACACCAAGGACCUCUGUGAGAUGACGUGCACGGGAGCAAGCCCGCGAGACAGAGCUUGAUUGCUUGGAUUUAUCAAUGGUGUAGGGGCCGACCCGAGCACAAACGCCGUGUCCAGCCCCUAGUCAUGGGAUGACCGAGGGAAGAGUUGCGAGGGCUCAACGAUUUCAGAUGGUGACGAGGGACCAUACACAAGGUUUAGGCAAAUGUCAUAAACUCUAUAAAAGAUAACCAUAUUUUCUACAUGACCAAAAAGUGAGGAUGUUACAGGGACAGACCCUUGCCAACUUGAGGAUGAUGUAGCCCGAAGGGUUCCCUCAAUUUGAACAAACCGAAAAGUCACCUAGCAAUCAUGUUGUUGCGGAAGCGUCAGGCUGCUUGGCGAAGCGUGUCAUGGAGGUUCACCUCUCACGGACCGGUUGGCCCCUGAGGUCUUGAGGGCUUGCGAGGGCCCGACAUCUUGCGAGUCGCCAUCACGAGUUGUGACAACCUUUGUAAGGUGGCGUUGGUGUUCUCCAUGGCAAAGGGCAUGAAGACAUAGUUGGUGGCGACACCCCUGCUCAGGCCAACGUGAUGGCCAAAAGAGUUCGUCAAAGCCGGCCCUGUUGAGGCUCACAGUGUCGACGCACACGUGCACCUUGUUGUUCUCCCCAGGGCAGCAGUCGAGUUGAUGGGAUGUCUCGAACGAUGCUCGCCAUGCAUGGCAUGAGCCUCUCACAGCUUGUCAAUCUCUUGGGUGAUGAACUCUUGUGCCCCUGGCAACUGGCACCGUAUUCCUUUCUUGCGGGAGAACGCGUCAAAGCAUGCCUCCAAGUGGUUCUCGAGCACCUCCCUCAUCACACUAGUCAGGUCACACACUUUCCAGGUGGAAGCCCUCAAGCCUGUCGCGAGGUAGGCGCCUGGUGCGCCUUCCUAUGCUGGGGGGAGACAGGAGCCGAGAGCGAGCACAAGGCUCGUGAUGCUGGAGUCAGGCGCUGCAUUCUUCGCCUCAACGGGGCCUUGGACGGGGAAUGACAGCUUCUUCCUUGGGGACGCGGCCUCGCGGAGCCCGGUGCCUCCCUCAUCAUCUGAAUGCUCGGCCAUGGUGAUGGAACAUACCGCAUCCUUUUCCUGGCAGGAAAUGGUGAUGAUGCCGCUGUAGCUAGGCAUCUUGAGGAUGUUGUAGCCAUCGUGGGUCGCCGCGAUGAAUUUGGCAAGCACCAGGUAUCCCAGGAUUUCAUUGUAUGGGAGGCUGAUGUGUGGCACAUCAAAGUCGAUGAGCUCGGUGUGGUAGUUGUCGCGCGUGCCGAAGGUGACAGGGAGGUGGACUUGCCCUAGGGGAAUGGUGCAGCCAUCGGUCACCCCAUAAAAUGGCCUGGUAGGCAGCAGUUGGUCGUAGGGAACCUUGAUUGUCUCAAACAUCCCAACAGAGAGCACAUUGAGGCUGGCGCCUCCUUCGAUGAGGGUCUUGGUGACUCAGACGCUGCUGAUGGCGGGAGUGCACAACAUGGGAAGCGCGCUCGCGAUAGCCGUGGAUUUGAGCCCCUCCUUGGAGUCGAAGGAGAUGGCGUACUAUGACCAUUUGAGGGGUCGGGCGGCCUCUGUCCUUGGGAGGGCGGCGCUCACCUCAUGAGAGAACUGCUAGAAUAGUCGGUUCGAUGCGGGGGCAUGGGCUCCGCCGAGGAUACAUGCUAUCGCGCGAGGCUCCUCAUAGCCCCCAGCCUCCUCGCCAUGUUGGUUGUUGUUGUUCCUCCUGGGCGGCGGUGGCAAGGGCGGAAGGGCAGCACUAUCUUGAGGGUGCACCUCGCGAGGUUGUUCUCUGUAGGCGCCCUCACGAGGCUGAUCACGCCAGCCGUCCUCGCAUGGUUGCUCGCGCCAACCCUGGCAGGGGUUUCCAUUGUGGUUGUCCCACAUACCGUCGCCACAGCCACCGCCAUGGCCGACUCUACGGCCAUUGUAGUCUGGACGCCUGCCCACACGCUCGUCGCUGAGGGACUUGAGCUCUUGGCGGUCUUCGGUGUUGUGGUUGUGCACGUUGUGGCAGACAUAGAGCGGAUGACGGUCCUUCUCGGGCACAUCAUGGUCACGGCCGCGCUUCUGCUCAAGCUCCUCCGCAAGAACAGCACGGCCCUUGUGCUUGACCUCCUUGCCCUUUGCCUUACUAUUGUCGGGCGUGGCGUCCGGGUCGUUGUGGAUGAACAUGUGACCCUCUUCGGCCUUGGCGCACUUGUCAAUGAUGUUGAACCGCUCCGGAGCCGAGCUCGGGCCGUUAUUGAUGGCGAGCUUAUCACACAUCCGGACGUCCUUGGUGCUGUUGGGGAAUGCCAUGAUGAUGGAUUCAUCUGAGUCACACGGGAUCUUGUUGCACACUUGGCUGAAGCGCUGGAUGUACUUGCAUAGGGUCUCUUGAUACGUCCAAAACGUACCUAUAAUUUUUUAUAGUUUCAUGCUACUUUUAUGCUUUUGGUAAUUGUUUUUGUAUUAAGUUUAUGAUUUAUUUGGACUAACCUACUAAUAUUUGCAAAACUUCACAAUUUUCUUGUUUUACACUUUGAUGUGUAGGAAUUAUCAAAAAUAGAAGAGGAAACCUUGUUGGAGUGGGACACUGACUUUCCUGAAAUGUGUCCCCCCUACAGAUUUUAGCGAUCAUCAGUUUCCGCCUCGAAGAUGACGUCAAAUGGAAAUAUAAUACAUGUGAAAGUUGUCGUGGAUUUUAUUAUGAUAAUUCUUGACAUACAAUUCGGCCCAUUUGGAGUUCGGACGCUCCACGAAAGCCCGUUUUACUGGAGGAAAAAUAUCUGAUUACAGGAUUACGAGAAUCGGUAACGUGAUUGAGUCCAACUCUUAUCAUAUUAGAUGGAUUCGGCCAAGCCACGACUUGGGGACCUCAUUAGGGCUGAGAGGGGUUCCUAGGAAGGUUUUAGAGGUGCCCAAGAGCCCUCGGAUCAAAGGGGCAUCCAUCGGAGGGCCAAGGAUGAUUGUCUCGACUCAUAUAAGGAGAGGAAAAACCUGAUUUCUCGAGAGCCACCAAGAGCUACGAGAUUUUCUCUUCCAUCGCAGCCGCCUUGGGGUGGAAAACCACCUCCGUACCAGUACCAUCUACAAGGAAGAAGGGGGGCCAAGGGCCGUGGCCGCUGUCGGCCGUCGUCUCCUCUCCGGGUUGCACCUCUCCAUCAACCUCUUGCUCACCAUGGCCAUGUGUGAGUAGUCUCCCUCGGGGCUGAGGUCUUCUGCGUGUAGCUAUGUGGUCAUCUCUCUCUCCCAUGAUGUGAUCUUGAUUGUGAUCAUAGGCUAUGUUAAUCUAGGGUGAUCCCAUGAUGUUUCCCCUUCUUCUAUGUAUUAGAUUGGUGUACUUACUUGAUCUUAUCUAGUAUAAUCCCCGAAACCAUGGAGAUAGCGGUCUAUUGGACAUGCAUUGUAAGAAUAUUUUCAUGAGUUAUUUCCUCUUUUGUGAAUUGAUUGAAGAUUGAGAGUCUCUUGGUGAUUAUCUUUGACUAUCCUUGAGAUAUGUUGUGGUGAUUGUGGUACUCUCUUUGGAUGGCCAUAGUGACAUUGGGAAAUCCAUAGAUGAGAACUACGAACUCUGAGGUCUGCAUUGGGAAAUCCAUAGAUGGUCCUCUCUUGAUCACAAAGGAAUGACCUCCAAGUACAUCUCCAUUGCAUGUUUUAGUGGAAAUAUCAUGUGAUUAGACUAUGUUAAUGUUGUUGGGAGUUGCCACUAGUGAAAGUAUGAAGCCUAGGCCUUGUUUUCCACCAUUGAACACCGUUUACUUUUAGUUUUGUUUCACGUUUGCUUGCUGUCAUUUUUAUUUCAGAUUUACAAUACCUUGUUUUACCAUCCAUAUCACUUGCCUUUUAACAUCUCUUCGCCGAACUAGUGCACCUAUACAACUGACAAUUGUAUUAGGUGUGUUGGGGACACAAGAGACUUCUUGUAUCUUAAUUGCAGGGUUGCUUGAGAGAAACCAUCUUCAAUCUCUAGUUCCCUGAGUUCGAUAAACCUUAGGUCAUCCACUAGAGGGAAAUUGUUGUUGUCCUACAAACCUCUGCGCUUGGAGGCCCAACAUUGUCUACAAGAAUAGAAGCGUGCGUAGACAUCAAGCUAUUUCUGGCGCCGUUGCCGGGGAGGUGAGUGCUUGAAGGUAUAUCUUUAGAUCUUGCAAUUAAAUCUUUUCGUUUCUUGUUUUUAUUUUCACUAGUUAGGCUUAAUGGAAAACAACAAAAACAUGAGAGAGCUUUAUAAACUUUACCUCGAACUAGGACAUGAAGUGUUUGAUGAGAAAAUUAAAAAACCUAUGGAACUUCAUUAUUUUGCAUAAAAAUUAUGAUGGUGUCAAUGUUAUUAGUAUGCUUCCUUUGAAUAUCAAUAUUUAUAACGACAUGGAAAGCUCUAAGCUUGGGGAUGACGGGUUUGAUGAACAUGAUAUUUUUAGUCCCCCAACUUUUGAGGAGAAAAAUUGGUUUGAUGAUACUAUGCUUCCUAUAUAUGAUGAUGAUGAAUGUGAGCUUGUUAGUCCUCCUACUAUAGAGGAUAAAAAAUUUAUUAUGAUUUUGAUAUGCCUCCUAGAAAUGAUGAUUACCAUGAUGAUAAUGAUUGAUUUACUCUCACUAUUCCUAAUAAGAAAGAUUUUGCUUAUAAGAAGAGUAAUGGUACUUUUAUGCUUUUGGAUCAUGGAAGUAAUGCCUUAUGUGAUCAUUAUAUUGUUGAGUUUAUUCAUGAUCCCAGUGAAAAUUAUUAUGAGAAGGGAACAUAUGCUUAUAGAUAUUCCAAUAAUAUCAAGUUCCCUCUCUUUAUGUUGAAGGUUUUGAAGCUGCACUUAUUUUUCCUUCCUACGCUUAUUGCUUUGUGCUUCAAUGAAUUAUUCUAUUGCAACAUUCAUAUGCAUAGCAAGCAUGUUAGACUUAAAUGUGUUAGGUAUUUGCUUCUUGAUGCUCUCUUUUGUUCUACAACUCUUAUUCCUAUGAGAGCAUCAUUAAAAUCUUAAGCCCAUCUUUAUGGAUGUAAAGAAAGAGCUCUAGGGAGACAACCCUUGUUAUCCUUACUUUGAGUUUUUACUUUCAGUUUUUAGUGGUCUUGAUGUGUGUUACUACUGUAGAAACAUCAUUGUAUCUUUAUUUUUAAGCUUUGUGCCAAGUUUUAGCCUCCGAUUGCAAGAAAGUUCAAAAGUUGUGACAUGUUGUCCAGAAACAAAUUAUGUCUGCUUGACGGAACAAUUCACCAAAAAUCACCAGAUAAUCUUUUUCAUCUGAAUUGUUUUGACAAUAUGCCCUAUAGAAUUGGCUUUCUGGCUUCUGUUAUGAGUUUUUUUAUUUGAGUUGCAGAACUGCCCUUAAGAAAUUAUUUACUACCUGCUUGUUUGUUUUUCACACAUUCUGCCACGUUUUGCGUUUUCAUCGUUUUGCAAAUCUUAAGCUUGAUUUUUCUUUGCAAAAACUUUUUGGAAAUUUUGAGAAACAGUAGCUCAUCAUGAAAAUAUUUAUUUCCAGUGGAGAAAAAAUAUUUCAUUAUAGGUACUAACCACUCUAUUCAGCUUUUGAUGAGUUUCAUAUGAAGGGAGUUUUCAAGUAUGCGAUGGAAGAUGAUGAAAGAAGAUCUAGGAUUGUCAAGCGCUCAAGCUUGGUGACGCCCCCAUGCACCCCCAAGAAAUAUUCAAGUAAACUCAAGCGUCUAAGCUUGGGGAUGCCCCCGUGCAUUCCCUUCUCCAUCAACAAUCAUCAGUUCGUCCUUCUCCAUACUAUAUUUUUAUCACUUCAUAUGUUAUGUGCUAUGCUUGGAGCGUCCCGCUCUUUACUUUUUAGUUUGUUUUAGUUUUGCUUGUUGGUCAUAAAUAAGUUACAUCCUAUCAUUCUUAUUUGGGAGAGAGACAUGCUCUGUUUUAAUUGCUUAGAACAUUCUGGUUUUCACUCUUAUUGUUCUGUGAGUGUUCACUUUUUGCUAGUAUUGCGUUUAGCUCUUGUUUUCCACUCAUAUUUUGUUUAGAGCUUGUUGGUUUGCUUCAGUUAUAUAUGAUUAUCUCUCUGGUAUUUAAUUAAUAUUAUCUGUGAGAGUUGUUUCAAGAAAGUUUAUUGGUGUUGGAGAAGAGUAAAAUAUGUCAUGCUUAUAAUGGUGCAAUAGGAAGCUUGUUUAAACUGUGGCUUAGACUUUAACAUGUCAUGUUAGAUAUUAUCUUAAUUAUAUGCUUAGUAGUUAUUGAUGUAUCAUGACUUGUCUCAAAUAAAUGAGAGUGCUUAAUGUACCAUUGAAAGAAUCAUGUGUUGUUUGUAUCAUAUCGAAGCAUAAUAUUGUGGUAUUCUCCUUACUGCUUCAUUUGGAUUGACUUGGCGCAUGCUCACAUCAUGUUAUGACUACAAACCAGUAACUUAUAGCCUCUAUGAUCAUUUAGUUUUUGACUUGUAAUAUUAUUUAUGCUUUUAUUAAUAAUGUUUUGUCAUUAUGAAUGAUUAUGGUCGUUAUUGCUCUCUUAGUUGGUUGCUCCCACUCUCUUGCUAGCCUCCACCUGUAUUGAGUAUGAGCUCUACUCGUGCAUCCAACUCCCAAAAAAACAAAGUUUGCCAAAUGUGUCCACCAUACUUAUACGUCUCAAACGUAUCUAUAAUUUUUGAUGGUUUCGCGUUGUUAUCUUGUCAACUUUGGAUGUUUUGUUUACCUUUUAUAUCUUUUUUGGGACAAACUUAUUAAUCCAGUGCCAAGUGCCAGUUCCUGUUUUUUCUGUGUUUUUGACUCUUUUCAGAUCUGAUUUUAGAACGGAGUCCAAACGGAAUAAAAUCCCCGAAAUAUUUUUUUCCAGAAAGGAAGAAGAUUGGGAGGCUUGAGGGCCAAGGCAGGGGGCCCACAAGGAGCCCACAAGCCCUGUUGCCGCGGCCAGGGGGCCGCAGCAACCAGGCUUGUGGCCUCCCUGGCGCUCCCCUGCCCUAGCUCUUUGGCCUAUAAAUUCCCUAAAAUCCCAAAAAUAUCAAGGCAUCCACGAAAACACUUUUCCGCCGCCGCAAGCUUCCGUUUCCAGGAGAUCUCAUCUGGAGACCCUUCCCAGUGCCCUACCGGAGGGGACUUUGGAGUUGGAGGGCUUCUACAUCAACAUCAUCGCCUCUCCAAUGACUCGUGAGUAGUCCACUUCAGACCUACGGGUCUGUAGUUAGUAGCUAGAUGGCUUCUUCUCUCUCUUGAAUCUUCAAUACAAAGUUCUCCAUGAUCUUCACGGAGAUCUAUCCAAUGUAAUCCUCUUUGGCGGCGUGUUUGUCGGGAUCCGAUGAAUUGUGGAUUUGUGAUCAGAUUAUCUAUGAUUUAUAUUUGAGUCUUUGCUGAUUUCUUAUAUGCAUGAUUUGAUAUCCUUGUAAGUCUCUCCGAAUCUUGGGUUUUGUUUGGCCAACUAGAUCUAUGAUUUUUGCAAUGGGACAAGUGCUUGGUUUUGGGUUCAUACCGUGUGGUGACCUUUCCUAGUGACAGAAGGGGCAGCAAGGCACACAUCAUGUUGUUGCCAUCAAGGGUCACAAGAUGGGCUUUUAUCGUAGAUAUGAGAUUGUCCAUCUACAUCAUGUCAUCUUGCUUAAGGCGUUACUCUGUUCUUAUGAACUUAAUACACUAGAUGCACGCUGGAUAGAGGUCGACGUGUGGAGUAAUAGUAGUAGAUGCAGAAAGUAUCGGUCUACUUGUUUUGGACAUGAUGCCUAUAGAUAUAAUUAUUGCCAUAGAUGACGUCACGACUUUGCGCGGUUCUAUCAAUUGCUCGACAGUAAUUCGUUCACCCACUGUCUAGUUUCUUUCAUGAGAGAAGCCACUAGUGAACACUACGGCCCCCGGGUCUAUUCACAACUAUCGUCUCCACUUUCGCUUUUACUUUGCUUUGUUUACUUUUGCUUUCAGCUCUCACUUUGCAAACAAUCUAUAAGGGAUUGACAACCCCUUCAUAGCGUUGGGUGCAAGCUCUUUGUGUUUGUGCAGGUACUUGUGACUUGAACGCUCCUCCUACUGGAUUGAUACCUUGGUUCUCAAAACUGAGGGAAAUACUUACCGCCACUGUGCUACAUCACCCUUUCCUCUUCAAGGGAACACCAACGCAAGGCUCCAAGGCCGCGGGGAAAUCCUUUGCAUAUUUUCCAAGGAAGUCCCUAUAGGCGUAGCCGUAGCAGCAGGAUUCCUGGCGCCGUUGCCAGGGAAGGUUAGUUGUUGCAGUAGCAGAAGGAUUUCUGGCGCCGUUGCCGGGGAGGAGAGAUCAAGUCAAGAUCUAUCCAAGUAGGUGUCACAAACUCAUCUCUUGCAUUUACCUUUUUUCGCCAGUUGCCUCUCAUUUACCUCUCCCCCACUUCACAUUUGUCGUUUUCAUUUGCCUUUCUCCUUUGUCGUUUCCUUUUGCCUUUUUGUCGUUUUCCUUUGCCGUUUUCUUUCGCCCUUUGCCGUCUUCCUUUGCCGGUUUUCUUACUUGCUUUCUGUUCGCUUGUGUGCCAUGUACCUUCAAUAUGCUUGCAUCUUUGCUUGCUGAAAAUCUAGUGAUAUGGAUCCUCAUCCACUUGCUAAUCUCUUUAAGAGAUACAAUUAUGUUGAUCCAAUUGCUAGUGAGUUGAGUGCACUCGACUAUCUUUAUGGAGUUUUGCUUGAGAUGCGUGAACCUAAAAGUUGUGAGGAAGAAAUUUAUGAAGUGAUUCACGAGGGCUCCUUGGAUGAAAAGCAUGAUUGCAAUGGUUUCACUAUAAAUCCUAUUAGUGAGAAUCAUGCUAAAAAUAUGCAAAACUCUAAGCUUGGGGAUGCUAGUUUUGCUAUGUGCCCUACUUGUUGCAAUAAUCAUGAUUGGGGCGAUGAUCUUUCUUAUGAUCUUGAAAAUUUGUUCAAGCCUCAUAAUGAUUAUGAUAUUUGCAAUAAUAUUAAAAGUGGGUUUGGAGAAGUCAUGACUUUAGUUGAUGAUAAUCCAGCUGUUUUUUAAGAGCGUCAACUUUACAUGCAUGUGGAUCAUGAAAAGAAUAUCCUAUGUGAUAGUUACAUUGUUGAAUUCGAAUAUGAUCCCACAUGUAAUUGCUAUGAGAGAGGAAAAUAUUUUGGUAGAAACAUUCAUGUUACCAAAUUACCUCUCGUUAUGUGGAGAUUGCUAUUGUCUCUUUCUUCUUCCUCGCAUAUGGCAACUAUUGGUUGUCUUGACAAUCUGUUUUCCUAUAAAAUGCCUAUGCAUAGGAAGUAUGUUAGACUUAGAUGUGGUUUUCACAUGCUUUAGGAUGCUCUCGUUGUGCUUCAAUUCUUGUCUUUUGUGAGAGCAUCAUUGAAUGCGUAGCUAAGGGCGUUAAACAAUAGCCCUUGUUGGGAGGCAACCCAACGAUUCUAUCCUUUUUAUUUCUGUUUUGUGUUUUCCACACUUUCAUAAUUCUGUUAUGAUUGUGUUUUUUGUGUUUCUUUUUGCGUUUGUGCCAAGUGAAACCGUUAUGAUUAGUCUUGGGGAUGAUUGUUUGGUCAUGCUGGAAAAGACAGAAACUUUCUGCUCACGAAAAGAAUUUUCAUUUUUGUUCUGUUAGAGCUUUUGCGUUUAUUCUUUUUGCUGCUGAUUGCUACACACAUUCUUCAGAGUGUCGUAAUUUGUAAGAAUUUUCGAAGUACAAGAAGUAUAUGAAGUAUACAAAUUGCUACAGACUGGUCUGCUGUUAACAGAUUCUAUUUUUGUUGAGUUGGUUGCUUAUUUUGAUGAAACUAUGGAUAGUAUCGGGGGUACUAGCCAUGUAAGAUAGAAAAUACAGUAACCCAACAUCAACAUAAGUAGAAUUUAAGUUUUCUACAGUACAUAAGGAAGUGGUGGUUUGCUUUCUUAUACUAAUGUUAUCAUGAGUUUCUGUUUAAGUUUCGUGUUGUGAAGUUUUCAAGUUUUGGGUGAAGUUCUUAUGGACAAAAAGAUAAAGAGUGGCAAGAGCUCAAGCUUGGGGAUGCCCAAGGCACCCCAAGUUGAUUCAAGGAUGUCGUAAAAUCCUAAGCUUGGGGAUGCCCCGGGAAGGCAUCCCCUCUUUCGUCUUCAAUCCAUCGGUAACGUUACUUGGGGCUAUAUUUUUAUUAACCACAUGUUAUGUGUUUUGCUUGGAGCGUCUUGUAUCGUAGGAGUCUUUUAUUUUUGUUGUGUCACAAUCAUCAUUGCUGCACACCUAGAGAGAGAGAUACAUGCACUCAUCGUGAUUUUGUCGAGCUUCACUUAUAUCCUUUGGUUAGACAAUUCAGCUCACAUGUGCUUCACUUAUAUCUUUUGAGCUAGUUGAUUUUGCUCUAUGUGCUUCACUUAUAUCUUUUAGAGCACAGCGGUGCAUGGCUUGGUAGUUUAUCUAUGCUUUGAUAGUAGUCUCAAAAGGGGUAGUUAUCCAAAGGGAUAUGAAAACUUCCACCUUCAUGUGCAUUGAAUAGUUAGAGAAGUUUGAUUCAUCUCAAUUAGUUUUCAGUUGUGGUUGUGGUAAUAUUGAAGUUAUAUUAGUAAGGUGUUCUGGAUCUAGAAAUACUUGUGUUGAAGUUAGUGAUUCCCGUAGCAUGCACGUAUGGUGAACCGCUAUGUGGUGAAGUCUGAGCAUGAUUAGUCUAUCGAUUGUCAUCCUUUGUGUGACGGUCGGGAUCGCACGAUGGUUUAUACCUACCAACCCUUCCCCUAGGAGUAUGCGUUGAAUGCUUUGUUUUGAUUACUACUAAAACUUUUGCAACAAGUAUAUGAGUUAUUCAUGACUAAUGUUGAGUCCAUGGUUUAGAUGCACUUUCACCCUCCACCAUCACUAUCUUCUUUAGUGUCGUGCAACUUUCGCCGGUGCACAAAACCACCCAUAUAGCCUCCCUCAAAACAGCCACCAUACCUACCUACUAUGGCUUUUUCAAAGCUAUUCCGAGAUACAUUGCCGUACGACUACCACCAUGACAUGUGCCACCACUUCUAAAUUGCCAUUGCAUGAUCAUAAGAUAGCUAGCAUGAUGUUUCCAUUGAUGUCUAUGCCAUGCUAGAUCAUUGUCACGGUACACUACCGAAGGCAUUCCAUAUAGAGUCAUCAUUGCUCUAAGUUUUGAGUUGUAAGUGUGAUGAUCAUCAUUGAGGGAGCAUUGUCCCAUGUGAGGAAAUAAAAGAGGCCAAAGAUGCCCACAAAAAUAAAAAAAAUAAAAAAAGAGGCCAAAGAUCCCACCAAAAAAAUGAGAGAAAAAGAGAGAAGGGACAAUGCUACCACCUUUCCACACUUGUGCAUAUUAAGCACCAUGAUCUUCAUGAUUCAGAGUCUCUCGUUUUGUCACCACCAUAUAGCUAGUGGGAAAUUUUCAUUAUAUAACUUGGCUUGUAUAUUCCAAUGAUAGGCUUCCUCAAAAUUGCCUUAGGUCUUCGUGAGCAAGCAAGUUGGAUGCACACCCACUAGUUUUCUUUAAGAGCUUUCACAUACUCUUAGCUCUAGUGCAUCAAUUGUAUGGCAAUCCCUACUCAUUCACGUUGAUAUAUAUUGAUGAGCAUCUCCAUAGCUCAUUGAUAUGCCUAGUCAAUGUGACCAUCUUCUCCUUGUUUGUCUUGCAACCUCGACCACACUCCACUCCACUUAUAGUGCUGAAUACAUGGCUCACGCUCAUGUAUUGCGUGAGAGUUAAAAAAGUUUGAGAAAGUAAAGGCGUGAAAACAAUUACUUGGCCAAUACGGAGGUUGUGCAUGAUUUAAAUUCGUUGUGCAAGGAUGAUAGGGCAUAGCCACACUAUAUGAUUUUGUAGGGAUAACUUUCUUUUGGCCUAGUUAUUUUGAAAGUUCAUGAUUACCUUGCUAGUUUGCUUGAAGUAUUAUUGUCUCCACAUCAAUAGCAAACUAUUGUUUUAUAUCUAAUGGAUCUGAACAUUCACGUCACAUAAGAGGAGUUACAAAGGACAUAUAUGCUAGGUAGCAUGAAAGCAUCAAAAAUUCAUUCUUUAUCACUUCCCUACUCGAGAACGAGCAGGAGUUAAGCUUGGGGAUGCUUGAUACGUCUCAAACGUAUCUAUAAUUUUUGAUGGUUUCACGCUGUUAUCUUGUCAAUUUUGGAUGUUUUGUUUACCUUUUAUAUCUUUUUUGGGACUAACUUAUUAAUCCAGUGCCAAGUGCCAGUUCCUGUUUUUUCUGUGAUUUUUACUCUUUUCAGAUCUGAUUUUGGAACGGAGUCCAAACGCAAUAAAAUCCCCGAAAUAUUUUUUUCUAGAAUGGAAGAAGAUCGGGAAGCUUGAGGGCCAAGGCAGGGGGCCCACAGGGAGCCCACAAGCCCUGUUACCGCGCCCAGGGGGGCCCGCGGCAACCAGGCUUGUGGCCUCCCUGGCGCUCCCCUGCCCUAGCUCUUUGGCCUAUAAAUUCCCUAAAAUCCCAGAAAAAAUCAGGGCAUUCACGAAAACACUUUUCCGCCGCCGCAAGCUUCCGUUUCCGCGAGAUCUCAUCUGGUGACCCUUCCCUGUGCCCUGCCGGAGGGGACUUUGGAGUUGGAGGGCAUCUACAUCAACAUCAUCGCCUCUCCAAUGACUCGUGAGUAGUCCACUUCAGACCUACGGGGCCGUAGUUAGUAGCUAGAUGGCUUCUUCUCUCUCUUGGAUCUUCAAUACAAAGUUCUCCAUGAUCUUCAUGGAGAUCUAUCUGAUGUAAUCCUCUUUGGCGGUGUGUUUGUCGAGAUCCGAUGAAUUGUGGAUUUGUGAUCAGAUUAUCUAUGAUUUAUAUUUGAGUCUUUGCAGAUUUCUUAUAUGCAUGAUUUGAUAUCCCUGUAAGUCUCUCCGAGUCUUGGGUUUUGUUUGGCCAACUAGAUCUAUGAUUCUUGCAAUGGGAGAAGUGCUUGGUUUUUGGUUCAUACAGUGUGGUGACCUUUCCCAGUGACAGAAGGGGCGGCAAGGCACGCAUCGUGUUGUUGCCUUCAAGGGUAACAAGAUGGGCUUUUAUCGUAGAUAUGAGAUUGUCCAUCUACAUCAUGUCAUCUUGCUUAAGGCGUUACUCUGUUCUUAUGAACUUAAUACACUAGAUGCACGCUGGAUAGAGGUCGACGUGUGGAGUAAUAGUAGUAGAUGCAGAAAGUAUCGGUCUACUUGUUUUGGACAUGAUGCCUAUAGAUAUAAUUAUUGCCAUAGAUGACGUCACGACUUUGCGCGGUUCUAUCAAUUGCUCGACAGUAAUUCGUUCACCCACUGUCUAGUUUCUUUCAUGAGAGAAGCCACUAGUGAACACUACGGCCCCCGGGUCUAUUCACAACUAUCGUCUCCACUUUCGCUUUUACUUUGCUUUGUUUACUUUUUUCUUUCAGUUCUCACUUUGCAAACAAUCUAUAAGGGAUUGACAACCCCUUCACAGCGUUGGGUGCAAGCUCUUUGUGUUUGUGCAGGUACUUGUGACUUGAACGCUCCUCCUACUGGAUUGAUACCUUGGUUCUCAAAACUGAGGGAAAUACUUACCGCCACUGUGCUACAUCACCCUUUCCUCUUCAAGGGAACACCAACGCAAGGCUCCAAGGCCGCGGGGAAAUCCUUUGCAUAUUUUCCAAGGAAGUCCCUAUAGGCGUAGCCGUAGCAGCAGGAUUCCUGGCGCCGUUGCCAGGGAAGGUUUGUUGUCGCAGUAGCAGAAGGAUUUCUGGCACCGUUGCCGGGGAGGAGAGAUCAAGUCAAGAUCUAUCUGGAUUGAUACCUUGGUUCUCAAAACUGAGGGAAAUACUUACCGCCGCUGUGCUACAUCACCCUUUCCUCUUCAAGGGAACACCAACGCAAGGCUCUCCUUUGCAUAUUUGCCAAGGAAGUCCCUAUAGGCGUAGCCGUAGCAGCAGGAUUCCUGGCGCCGUUGCCAGGGAAGGUUUGUUGUCGCAGUAGCAGAAGGAUUUCUGGCACCGUUGCCGGGGAGGAGAGAUCAAGUCAAGAUCUAUACAAGUAGGUGUCACAAACUCAUCUCUUGCAUUUACCUUUUUCUGCCAGUUGCCUCUCAUUUUCCUCUCCCCCACUUCACAUUUGCCGUUUUCAUUUGCCUUUCUCCUUUGCCGUUUCCUUUUGCCUUUUUGUCGUUUUCCUUUGCCGUUUUCUUUCGCCCUUUGCCGUUUUCCUUUGCCGGUUUUCUUGCUUGCUUUCUGUUCGCUUGUGUGCCAUGUGUGUGACAUCCUCGACUUUUGCAACAGUAAUUAUUGUAAUUAAGCUACAGUAUCAACCGCUAAUGAUGCCACGUCAUCGAAUUCCCAUCUCAGACCCGUGUUGAUUCGAGUCUGUCCGGAUCCAAAAUUUGAAAGCAAAAGAAAAAGUACUUUAUAAGUUCAUUACAAAUAUAAAAAGAAUAUGUAUAUGAAAGAGAGAUUUAGAAGUAUGUAUAAUAAAUUGAAAAAGAAAGUAUAAUAAAAGAAAUUAUUUAAAAAGAAAAAUCAGUUAGUGAAAAGAAAUUAGAAAGAAAGAAAUAAUAAAAAAGGGAAAAGGCAAAAUAAAACAAAAUGAAACAAAAAGAAAAAAAAGAAAAAGCAACCCCCCCCCCGGCCCAGCUGGGCCACCCACAGGCCCAACCGGCCAAACCCUAGAGCCCCCUGGCGAGCAAUCCCACCCCCCUCGCUACUCCCUCCCCUCCUGAGNNNNNNNNNNNNNNNNNNNNNNNNNNNNNNNNNNNNNNNNNNNNNNNNNNNNNNNNNNNNNNNNNNNNNNNNNNNNNNNNNNNNNNNNNNNNNNNNNNNNNNNNNNNNNNNNNNNNNNNNNNNNNNNNNNNNNNNNNNNNNNNNNNNNNNNNNNNNNNNNNNNNNNNNNNNNNNNNNNNNNNNNNNNNNNNNNNNNNNNNNNNNNNNNNNNNNNNNNNNNNNNNNNNNNNNNNGGCGGCCUCUCCUCCUCCCGCCGGCAGCCCCCCCACGGCCUCAUCCUCCCGGCCGGCGAGCCCCUGCUCCUCCAACCGCCGGCCACCACUCCCCCUCCUCCGGCGGCGGGCUCCCUCCCACGACCUCAUCCCCCCGCCGGCCGAGGCCCCUGGUUCUCCCACCACGACACCACCCCCCCCCCUGGAGACCGACCCCGGGAGCCCCGCCGGCCGAGCCCCUCCAUGUCGGCGGCUCCAUCUCCGGGGGCCCCUCCUCACCGGGGCCCCUCUCGGCGAACCUCCGGCCGGCUCCUCCUCGCUUGCACGCCCGUCUUCACCGGAACCGCGUCACCGUCGUCACCUUCACCUUCGUGCGAACUCCGGCUUCAUCGGGCCGUCUCGUCACCGUCGGUGAGCCCCUCCUCGGGCUCCUCCCACCAUGUCGUUCUCCUCGUCGCCCCAGUUCCGUUCCGGCAAACGAGGCCUCGAUCCGUCGACGGUAGACGCCAGUAGGAAGGAUUGAAUAUUUGGUUCCUCUAGGUUGAGUUGGAGCAGAGAGAGUUCUGUGUCUCUCUGUUAACAGAGAGGGAGAUGAGAGUUUUGAGAGAAAAUAAAAAAACAAAUGAUGUAUUAGAUGCGUAUGUAUGUAUGUAUGUAUGAGAUGUGAUGUAUGUAUUUGCGUAUAUGGAUAUUUAGGGGAAUACGGUAUUUGCACGGUUAGGUAUCUAAUAAAAAAGAUGAGUAAAUGGCCUAGGGUCACUUACCGGUGGGGCCAAUGCACCCGCUGUCUAUGACAGGGAGGCCCCACGCGAGAGUUAAUAUAAAUUAUAAAAAUAAUGUUUUCAUUAAAUAAAUAAAUAAAUAGAUAUAACAAUUAAUUAAUGAGUUAAUGAAUUAGUUAAAUAAGUAUAUAAGUUAAUCUGUUAAUUAGAAUAAUUAAUUAACAUAAUUAGAGUAUGCCACGUGGGUCCCUCAUUAAAUUAAUCUGAUAAAUCAAUAAUUAAUCUUAAAUAAAACUUGUGCCUAUGACGUUCGGGACCCACUGGUCAGUUGACCAGUCAAAUGUUGAUGUCAGCAUGACAUCGCGAUGAUGUCAUAAUGGGAUUUUAUUAAAUCUUUUAAAUCUGUUUUUAAUUCCUAAAUAAUUAAUAAAACUUUGAAAAUUAAUAUAAAAUAAUCCGUAAGUCAGAUGAAAAUAUUUUCAACAUGAAAGUUGAUCAGCAAAACGAGACGAACCCGGAUACACGGUCCAUUCGUCUGUCACGCGUCCCUGGCAUAGCAAACAUGGAACUUUUCCAUCGUUUCCUGUAUAACCGGUAGUAGCCCGAGACCCGGAAAAUAUCGUCAGAUAUUCUUCCGACCCGUCUAUGACGGAUGUUGCUGCGUUAGCUCAUGUCUAGCCUGCAUCUUUCCAUGUCAUGCUUUGUGUUGCAUCGGUGCUAUUAUUUAUUGUUUCUUCCCCCUCUUCUUACCGGUAGACCCCGAGACUGACGCUGCUGCCGGGUACAUCUACGACCCUGUCGAUCAGUCCUUUGCCGCAGAGCAGCAAGGCAAGCAAACUCCCCUUGAUCAUUCCUAUAUCGCCUAUGUCUUUCUUCCUACUGCUUGCAUUAGUAUUUUUGCUACUGUUGUAGUUAGCUCCUAUAUCUGAUGCAUAGCCUAUUUUUGAUGAUCUGCUACUUUCAGUCAUGUACUUUAAAUAUGCUUAGUAUAGGUGGAGCAGUCAUCCCCUCUGACCCCGUAGAUCAGUUGCCCCGCUUGUUGUCACAUCUCGAUCUCUGAUCAACGAGCCAGACCCGACACAGCACGUUCACCCCCCCCCCUUCGUUGUACGACGCUACAGGGAUACUGUCGGGUACCAAGGGUGACACCUUGCUAAGUACUCCUGAUGAUAUCUCUGUAGUAUAGCUAGUCGGUCGUGGUUAUCGAGGGUGAUUCCUCUUUCACCAUUCCCGAUGACGCCUCUGUCGUGCAACCCCGCGAGUGUGGGACCCCCGAGGGUGAUUCCUCUAAGCCCACCUUGACAGGUACAUCGUUCGGAAUCCAACGAGGGUGAUACCUCGGGUUCCCCCGAUGUUACGACCACACAGUUACUCGAUCAUGUUACUGGGAUCAUUGGUGAUUAGUUGUAAGACGGGUGGAUUCCCGUGAGACUGUGUUGUUUGCCUAAUUAAAAUGCUAAUGGAUUUGGGUAUUUGAUCUGGGUUGGUCGGAGACCUUUUCGCACUAACCGGCUACGCGGGAAGAAUUAUGGGUACUCGGCGUCGCGGUAUCAGCCGAAGCUUUUCAUAUGCCAGCAAUGUAGCGGCGCGCGCCCGAGUGGUCCCGAGAUGCAUCGGGCUUGUGAUUAAGGGAUGCUAGGACUGACGUCGGCCGCCCACGCCACGUGCAGGAGCGUGAAGGGGAACUGGGCCCACGAACCCUUUGUGCUUAGGAUUUAGACCGGCGGGCUGGCCUCUCUGAUUAGUCUUAGGUGGGGCUGCGACGUGUCGAUAUUCCGAGGCCGGGCAGGACCCAGAAAAGUAUGUCCGGCCAGAGUGUUAUCGAGCGUGACGGGACAUGUGGUGCACCCCUGCAGGGAUGAAAAUUAACUAUUCGGAUAGCCGUGUCCACGGUUACAGGACGACUUGGAGUUGUGCCCCGAUCUUUUACAACUACAAUUGUUACUUAACUGGAAUUAGUUUGCCUCGGGAUUGCUUCCUCGCAGGGAGUCGAGGGAGGAUCUUUAGGCGUGACCUCACUUUAAUAUUGCUGCAACAAUAUGAUUAUUUUUGUGUUACCCCUGUUCUACUCUCGUCUAUUGCUGCAAGACCCUGAAGAUGCUAGUCUUCGAUAGGACUAGGCCUUCUCUCUCUAUUCUCGCAUUGCUGCAGUCAGUCCACAUAUAACCCCCCCCCCUUCUUUGAUACUGAUGCAUAAUUAGAAUAGUUCUGAUGUAAGACUUGCGAGUACUUUGGAUGAGUACUCACCGCUGCUUUGCUCCCCCCUUGUUCCCUUGAUCCGUUUGCUGCGACCAGGUGAUGGAGCCCAGGAGAUGGAGGUCCCCGCGCCCGACGACUGCUACCCCGACGGUGCCUACUACUACGUGGAGGCCGCUGAUGAUUAGGAGUAGUUAGGAGGUUCCCACGCAGGAGGCCUCGCCUCGUUCGAUCGUUGUAUCUUUUGUGCUAGCCUUCUCUAAGGCACCCCAUGUUUUAUGUCUGUACUCAGAUAUUUGUUGCUUCCGCUGACUCGUGUGUUUAUCGAGCUUUCGUAUUCUAGCCCUCGAGGCCCCUGGCUUGUAAUAUGAAGCUGAUGUUAUUUUAUUUGUGUCUAGAGUUGUGUUGUGAUAUCUUCCCGUGAGUCCUUGGGUUUGAUCGUACGCAUUUGCGUGUAUGUUUAGCGUACGAUUAAGCCGAGGGCGUCACAAUGUGCCUUCAAUAUGCUUGCAUCUUCGCUUGUUGAAAAUCUAGUGAUAUGGAUCCUCAUCCACUUGCUAAUCUCUUUAAGAGAUCCAAUUAUGUUGAUCCAAUUGCUAGUGAGUUGAGUGCACUCGACUAUCUUCAUGGAGUUUUGCUUGAGAUGCGUGAGUCUAAAAAUUGUGAGGAAGAAAUUUAUGAAGUGAUUCACGAGGGCUCCUUGGAUGAAAAGCACGAGGUUUGCAUGUCUAAUAUACGAACCCCUAAUACGAGGAGGGACUCGCAUGAGUGCGCCCAGAUCGUAAAAGAUAAUAGCAACGAACAAAACUUCCUUCACGCUUUGUUCAUGAGAAAUCAGAAUAGUGAUAAACAAAGGAGACUAAGGGGAUGUGAUCGUCCCCACUUUGGGAGCCGUUCCUCAAAACUUGUCCAACAUGAGAAGUAUUGGGUUAUCUGUUAGCAUUCGUUGACGAAUUAUGCACCUCCCAAAAGCUUGUUUUACAAUCUUAUUGAUUUCAAAAAUCUCUAAAAGCUCUAGCACAUGAGUAAUCCCUGCUUCCCUCUACAAAGGGCCUUUCUUUUACUUUUAUGUUGAGUCUUCAUCUUCUAACUUUAUGCACCAAUUAAGAGAGCAUAGUUGUCAUUCUAAGUAUAAUGUGCAUAGUCCCAAAAUUUAUUAUUGAUUAAUUCACGGUUAUGUUAUUACUUGUUCUCAAAUUAUUUGUAUCUAGUCACCACUUGAACUUCGAAGGUGUACUCGCAUUUAUGUUUUGCCCCACUCUUAAGGACAAGCGAAAUACCACAUUGCUAUGUUUCUUUAUGCUCGAAACAAACGUAUAACUUUCAGGUGCAUUAUUAUUGAUGAUCUUUUGUUUGUGUUACUUUUCAAGUUGCAACAUGGUUGCUAAGUUUCAUUGUUAGAAUUAUAUCUAUCAUGCUUAUGUUUAGAGUGCUAUGAUCUCAGCUUACAAAUAAUUUUACAAAUAUGAUUAUCAAGAUUAUGUUGGUAGCAUGUCACCUCAAAAAUUAUUUUGUUUUUAUCGUUUCACCUACUCGAGGACGAGUAGGAACUAAGCUUGGCGAUGUUGAUACGUCUAAAACGUAUCUAUAAUUUUUAAUGAUUUCAUGCUACUUUAUGCUUUUGAUAAUUGUUUUUAUAUUAAGUUUAUGAUUUAUUUGGACUAACCUACUAAUAUUUGCAAAAUUUCACAAUGUUCUUGUUUUACACUUUGAUGUGUAGGAACUAUCAAAAAUAGAAGAGGAAACCUUGUUGGAGUGGGACUUUGACUAUCCUGAAAUCUGCCCCCCCCCCUACAGAUUUUAGAGGUCAUAUGUUUCCGCCUCGAAUAUGAUGUCAAAUGGAAACAUAAUACAUGUGAAAGUUGUGGGGAAUUUUAUGCUGAUAAUUCUAGACAUAUAAUUCGGCCCAUUUGGAGUUCGGACACUCCAGGAAAUCCCGUUUUACUGGAGGACAAAUAUCUGAUUAUAGGAUUACGGGAAUCGGUGACGUGAUUGAGUCCAACUCUUAUCAUAUUAGAUGGAUUCGCCCAAGCCACGACUUGGGGACCUCAUUAGGGAUCAGAGGGGUUCCUAGGAUGGUUCUAGAGGUGCCCAAGAGCCCUCGUAUCAAAGGGGCAUCCAUCGGAAGGCCAAGGAUGAUUGUCCCGACUCAUAUAAGGAGAGGAAAACCUGAUUUAUGGAGAGACACCAAGAGCUACGAGAUUUCCUCCUCCGAGGCAGCUGCCUUGGGGUGGAAAACCACCUCCAUACCAGCACCAUCUCCAAGGAACAAGGGGGGCCAAGGGCCGCCGCCCCCAAGGGCCGUGGCCGCCACCGUGGCCGUCGUCGGUCGCAGUCUCCUCUCCGGGUUGCACCUCUCCAUCAACCUUUUGCUCACCAUGGCCAUGUGUGAGUAGUCUCCCUCGGGGCUAAGGUCUUGUACAUGUAGCUAUGUGGUCAUAUCUCUCUUCCAUGAUGUGAUCUUGAUUGUGAUCAUAGGCUAUGCUAAUCUAGGGUGAUCCCAUGAUGUUUCCCCUUCUUCUAUGUAUUAGAUUGAUGUACUUACUUGAUCUUAUCUAGUAUAAUCCCCGAUACCAUGGUGAUAGCGGUCUAUUGGACAUGGAUUAGAAGAAUAUUUUCAUGAGUGAUUUCCUAUUUUGUGAAUUGAUUGAAGAUUGAGAGUAUCUUGGUGCUUGUCUUUGACUAUCCUUGAGAUAUGUUGUCGUGAUUGUGGUACUCUCUUUGGAGGGCCGCGGUGACAUUGGGAAAUCCAUAGAUGAGAACUACGAACUCUGAUGUGUGCUUUUGUAGCCCUACAUAAUUCUCGUCCUCUCUUGAUCACAAAGGAAUGACCUCCAAGUACGUCUCCAUUGCUUGUUUUAGUGGAAAUAUCAUGUGAUUAGACUAUGUUAAUGUUGUUGGGAGUUGCCACUAGUGAAAGUAUGAAGCCUAGGCCUUGUUUUCCACCAUUGAACACCGUUUACUUUCAGUUUUGUUUCAUGUUUUCUUGCUGCCAUUUUUAUUUCAGAUUUACAAUACCUUGUUUUACCAUCCAUAUCGCUUGUCUUUUAACAUCUCUUCGCCGAACUAGUGCACCUAUACAAUUUACCAUUGUAUUAGGUGUGUUGGGGACACAAGAGACUUCUUAUAUCUUAAUUGCAGGGUUGCUUGAGAAAGACCAUCUUCAACCUCUACUUCCCUGAGUUCGAUAAACCUUAGAUCAUCCACUUGAGAGAAAUUGCUGCUAUCCUACAAACCUCUGCACUUGGAGGCCCAACAUAGUCUACAAGAACAGAAGCGUGUGUAGACAUCAUCUCUCGAGGGCGUUGUUUCACGUGCCGCAGGUCGUUGACAGAAAGGGGGUGAUCAUGCGUGACCUUGAAGUUGGCGAUAAACUGCUUGCAGAGCUCGCUCCACGAUGAGAUUGACUCCUGGAUAGGUUCAUGAGCCAGGAGCGUGCGCCAUCUUCGAGGGCCAUGGGGAACCAGUUCCCCAUGACUUUGUCGUUGUCGCUCGUCGCCUCGAUGCUUAGUGCAUAGAGCUGGAGGAACUCUAUGGGGUCGGGGAUGCCAUCGUACCGCGGGGGGCAGCUCAAGCUUGAACUUGAGGGGCCAAAUGACCCGGCGUAGCUCGUGAUUGAAGGCCCGGCAGCCCACGCUGCUCGAAGGGACACCACACGGAAGGACGGCCCGGUUCUAGCACCCAUCCGCCACGACAUCCUGGAUGAUCCGGUCUUGACGCUGACGUUGUUGCUUGAGUAUCAUGCACGCGUCGGGCGGCGCACGACAGAUGACCUGGCAGCUGGCCUCGUCUUCGGCAUGUGAAGUUGCCCUCCGAGGCUCGUUGCGAGGGCGCGCGUCCCACCGAGGCUCGACUAGGUCGUUGCGCAGGGUAGCUGGCGGAGGCGCGCCAUGCGCCAUGUCCCAAGAACGAGACCCUGGAGGGCGAAGCGAGCGAGAGGGUGCACGGGCUUCUCCGGUGGCGGUGACGAGCUCGAUGAUGUGGCCCAGCCAUGCGUUGUAACCACCGUCUGUCGGGUGGUAGCGAAGCAGGUCAUGCGCCAUGAGCAGCGUGGCCUGCACGUUCACGUGCCCUAGGCGGGCGUGGGAGGAGGAAGCCAUGGUGGUGCGGCCAUCCUGCUGCACGGAAGGGUGCAAGGAGGAGUCCUGCUGCUCUCAGGCAACACGGUUGGUGGCGGUGGCAGUCGCAGCGCCAACGGAGUGGUGGCGAUCAUUGUGACCAGCAGGCGCUGUCUGGGCGACGCGGGCCGCCCGACGCUCAGCACGCACACAGCGAGCGUCAGCCAUAGGGUUGGCAGAGCUAGAGCCGAAACAAAGCCAGUGAACAGUGGCACACCCUUACCUGGCGCACCAAAUGUCAUAAUCGGGGCUCCGGGGGCCCAAAGAAGUUCGAACUCUGGGGUGCAUUGUUCUCCCGCCCCGCUCUACCUCACAAACUCGCGGCGACACUCUAACAUGCUCGAACUAAGGAAGAAGAACAUUGGACAUGACAGUUUACCCAGGUUCGGACCACCUUGCAGUGCAAAAUCCUACUCUUUCUUGUAUGGAUUGCUUGAGGGUGAGCGAGAGUACAAAUGUGGGUUUUGGCUAGCUGCGGGUAAAUCCCCUUCUAUGGAGGCAGCCUGCCCUAUCUUAUACUGGCCCCGGUUCUCUGACCCCGAAGACACAAGGCGGGAAGGCUUGUCACAACGAUCAGUUUGAAGGGGGCAGGAUUGCAGCUUAUCUUCAUAAAAUUAGUCGUCGCGUGCAAAAGCCUCCUAUCAUGACGCGCUUGUGGGAUCGGGGAUGACCUCCGUCCUCGCGAGCCCCUAGCCUUGGUCUUCUUGCACCAAACGAAAAACCUUUGGAGAUUGCUUUGGGAACUGGCGAGCUGGCCGUGCUCCCUUAACAAAAAAUAGGAAAGCCUCCUCAUUCGUGUCUGCUCGCAUGGCUCCUGGUGUCGCUCGGCGCGACGUGCGACACCCACAUGACGAUGCAGGACCACGUGACCCCAUCGGGCCACCCUUGAUCAGUCCGCCCUGCGAGGGCCUCUGGGGUAGCCUCAGGAUGCGACCUCGCGAGGGGGGCUUCGUGUGGCUCCUAAUGCUGAUUGCUCACAUGCGCCUCAUGAGGCGGGGGCCCUCGCGAGAGUCUUGCCCCGUGAAGUCCAAUGGUGGACCGUGCUCCACACAUGGCAUGCAUUGCGUCUUGGGCCACAGGUAGAUGGGCCUGGGUACCCCCCAGUCCCAUGGGCCCAACAGUUUCACAUAAGCCUCGUUAUAUCUUCCGCAAAACAGCCACCAUACCUAGCUAUCAUGGCAUUUCCAUAGCCAUUCCGAGAUAUAUUGCCAUGCAACUUCCACCGUCACAUUAUAUGACUUUUGCUUCCCUUGUCAUAUUGCGCUGCAUGAUUGUAAGAUAGCUAGCAUGAUAUUUCCAUGGCUUGUCCGUUUUUUGCUAUGCUUGAUCAUUGCACAUCCUAGUACACUGCCACAGGCAUUCAUAUAGAUUCAUACUACAAUCUUCAUGUGGAGUUGUAAGUAAAUAAAAGUGUGAUGAUCAUCAUUAUUAGGGCACUGCCUGAGUGAGGAAAGGAUGAUGGAGACAAUGAUUCCACACAAGUCGGGAUGAGACUCCGAACGAAAAUAAAAAAAAGGAGAAAAGGAAAAAAAGAAAAAAAAGAAAAACAAGAAAUAAAGAAAUAAAUCAGAGAAAAGAGAGAAGGGACAAUGCUACUACCUCUUUUUCCACACAUGUGCCUCAAAGUGGCACCAUGUUCUUUGUAUAGAGAGUAUCUAGUUUUUUCACUUCCGUAUGCUAGUGGGAACUUUUCAAUAUAGAACUUGGCUUGUAUAUUUCGAUGACGGGCUUCCUCAAAUGCCUGAGGUCUUCAUGAGCAAGCAAGUUGGAUGCACACUCACUUAGCUUCAGUCGAGCUUUCAUACACUUAUAGCUCUAGUGCAUCCGUUGCAUGGCAGUCCAUACUCCUCUCAUUGAUAUCUAUUGAUGGGCAUCUCCAUACCCCAUUGAUACGCCUAGUAGAUGCAAGACUUUCUUCUCCACUUUCACCACUUAGAAACCUACCACCAUAUUCUAUUCCACCUUUAUGUUAUAUCCAUGGUCCACGCUCAUAUAUUGAGUGAGUAAUAUAAAGCUAAAGCGCGUUAAAGAGUAGAUCCAACUGCCUGACUUGACACCGUGGUGCUUAACAUUUGUAUUUAUUUGGUGAAGAUGGAGGCAUGCUAUACUUAUAUAAUAAAUGAAUAGGGGGUGAACAUUCUUCAAGGAUCGUAUAUUUUCAAACUUGAUGAUUGUGUUGCUUAUGUUUAUGAAUAUUACUAUGUUAAUGCUUAUUAAUUCAUCGGUUCUCAAUGAUCAAACCUGCAAUAGAUUACAUGUUGGGUAGCAUGUCACAUCAAAAAAUCUCUUUUUAUCAUUUACAUACUCGAGGAACAGCGGGAAUUAAGCUUGGGGAUGAUGAUACUUUUUUAUUACUCCAUGCUAUAAUAUUAUCAUUCUAGUAUACUUUUUGGCUGUUUAUAUACAAAUUAAUAUUAUUUUUGAGCACUAACCUGUUAACCCACUGCCCAAAGCCAGUUGUUGUUUUCUGCGUGUUUUGGGCUUUUCAGGUUUAUAGUACCAAACGAAGUCCAAUUGCCCCGAAACUUUUUUAUGAUUUUUUCUAGACCAAAAGAAGACCCCGAAGCUUCAGAAGGAGACCAAAGGCCACGCGAGGGAGCCAGCACACAAUAGGGUGCGACUAGGGGGAUGGUCGUGCCUUGGUGUGUGGUGGGCCCCCCGGGCGCCUCCUCACAUCCCUCUUUGUCCUAUAAAUCCUCAGUUAUCACAAAAACCCUAGAGAGCCACCCAAAACACUUUUUCCGCCACUGCAAGUCUCUGUUCAUUUGUGUGGCCAUCUAGAUCCCUUUUCCGAUGCCCUAUCGGAGGGGGGUCGAUCACGGAGGACCUCUACAUCAACCUUAUUGCUCCCAUGGUGAUGUGUGAGUAGUUUACCACAGACCUAUGGGUUCGUAGUUAGUACGUAAAUGUCUCUCUCUCUCUCUGUGUGUCUCUAUAUAUUGAUCUUCAAUACAAUGAUCAUCACAUCUUUGCUUUGAUCUAUCCGAUGUAAUCCUUUUGUGCGAUGCAUUUUUUGGGAUCCGAUGAAUUGUGGGUUUAUGUUCAGAUUAUUCAUGAUAAAGAUUUGAUCCUUCUAUGAAUUAUAAUUAUGAUUCUUAUUUGCAUGAUUAUGAUAGCUUCAUAAAUCUCUCUGAUCUAUUGAAAUGGUUUGGCCAACUAGAUUGAUAUUUCUUUAGUGAGAGGAGUGUGUUGUACUCGGUUCAAUCUGAUGGGUUUCUAUAUCCCCGUGACAGAAGGGGACAAGAUAUGUCUUUGUAUUGUUGCCACUAAGGAUAAAACGAUGGGCUUAAUUCAUAUUUAUUUAAUUAUUUUUGCCUACACCAUGUCAUUGUUCUCCAAGCAUUACUCCAUUUUACUUAAUACUCUAGAUGCAUGCUGGAUUGCGGUCGAUGGGUGGAGUAAUAAUAAUAGGUGCAGGCAGGAGUCGACAUAUUUGCUUACAGACGUGAUGCCUAUACACAUAUGAUCAUUGUCGUGAAUAUCACAUAACAAUGCGCUUUUGUAUCAAUUGCCCAACGAUAAUUCGUUUACCCACUGUAUGCCUAAUACAUGAGAGAUGCCACUAGGGAAAACUACGCCCCCCGGGUCUAUGCACUUAUAAGUUUACAAACGCAACAAUUACCUCGCUGCCUUUAUUUAUUUUGCAAUUAUCAAGUUUUAUAUACACACUUUACUUGCUUGCAAAUAACAAGUCCAAGGGGAUUGACAAACCUCUUACCCGCGUUGGGUGCAAGUGUUUGCUUGUUUAUGUGCAGUCGCUAAAGACAGGGGCUGGUUGUUACUCAUAUUGGUUCGAUAAACCUUGGUUCUCUAAUAAGGGAAAUACUUACCUAUAUAUUGUUGCAUCACCUAUUCCUCUUCAAAAAAAAACCAAUACAUAUCACAAGCAUCACACCUCUCUCUCCCUUGCUACCUUUCUCUGUGUCGCCGACAGGCUGACCCCACCACCUUCUUCCGUCCCACGCUGCAUCGUGUCCAAGCCGUGCACGCACCUCUGUCGUCACCACUUCUACGAUCUCUGGGAUUCGAUUCCUAGGUUUCCCUCUUGCACGUGAAGAUGUCCCUAUAAAUAUGCAACACCUCCAUUUUCGAUUCCCCCUACUCUCACCAACCAAACCCCCCUCGAGAGCACGCACGAGUGCUUCCAAUCUCAUUUGAACCGAAGCUUUGUGUCGUCGAUUCCAUUGCCAGUGAGCACUUUCGUUCCCCCUCCUAUGUCUUCUCCAUUACCUCGCCUAUGCACGUCAUUUGGACAUGUUCUUAUGCCCUACUGUCCUCCAUAGCAGCAUCAUCAUUGUCACCGAGCCCCACCGAAGCACGCACAAUGCCAGAAGCCCUCCGAGCUUUCCCCGCUCGCUCCCAUCGACCCUGACCUCCAUCGUCACCACUACCGAGAGCCCCUCGCCGAACUACACACGUAGGACACUGAUGUAUACGCAUGCUUCUAUUCUUUUAGACUAUGUUGGGCCUCCAAGCGCAGAGGUUUGUAGGACAGCAGCAAUUUCCCUCAAGUGGAUGACCUAAGGUUUAUCGAACUCAGGGAAGUAGAGGUUGAAGAUGGUCUCUCUCAAGCAACCCUGCAAUUAAGAAACAAGAAGUCUCUUGUGUCCGCAACACACCUAAUACAAUGGUAAAUUGUAUAGGUGCACUAGUUCAGCGAAGAGAUGGUAAAAUAUGGGUGAUAGGUGUGGCAAAGCAAGGUAAUAUAAAUCUGUAAUAAAAAUUACACCAAGGUAGCAAGUUACAAAAGUGAGCAUAAACGAUGUAACAAUGGUGAGAAACAAGGCCUAGGCUUCAUACUUUCACUAGUGGCAACUCCCAACAACUUUAACUAGUCUCUUUGUGAUCAAGAGAGGACGGGAAUUAUGGAGGGCUACAAAAGCACACCUCAGAGUUCGUAGUUCUCAUCUAUGGAUUUCUCAAUGUCACCGCAGCCAUCCAAAGAGAGUACCACAAUCACCAUAAUGUAUAUCAAGGAUAGUCAAAGACAAGCACCAAGAGACUCUCAAUCUUCAAUCAAUUCACAAAAGAGGAAAUCACUCAUGAAAAUAUUCUUCUAAUCUAUGUCCAAUAGACCGCUGUCACCAUGGUCUCGGGGAUUAUACUAGAUAAGAUCAAGUGAGUACAUCAAUCCAAUACAUAGAAGAAGGGGAAACAUCAUGGGACCACCCUAGGUUAACAUAGCCUAUGAUCACAGUCAAGAUCACAUCAUGGGAGAGAGAAUUAACCACAUAGCUAUUUUAGAAGACCUCAGCCCCGAGGGGGAACUACUCCCGCUUCAUGGAGGGAGGAAGCAACGUCGAUGGAUAUGAAUCUGGGGGCACUUCCCCGUCCCGGCAGGGUGCCGGCACAGGAAUUCUGGUCCCCCAAAACUUGUUGGCGAUGGGCGCGGAGAUCGGAAUUGCUUCUGGAGAAAAGGGUUCCGGAAUCAGGGUUUCCUCCACGGGGGUAAAAAUAGGAGCCAAGGUAGGGCGCCAGAGGGGGUGGGGCCCACCCAGGCGGCCUCCCUGCGCGGCCAGGGGGCAGGCCGCGCCACCAGGGCGCAUGGGGGCCUCGUGACCCCCCCUUUGGCCCUCCUUUGGCCGUCUGGAGUCUUCUAGAACGCUGAUUUUUUAUAUUUUUUUGAGGAAUUUUUUGGGCAGUGUAAAUAUGGGUAUAAACCUACAAUUCACACACAUCAGCAGAUAGAAAUCGACACUGGGUGCACUGAGUUAGUAGGUUAGUCCAAAUAUGUUGAAAAGGGUAUGAAAGUGUACAAAACACAUAGCAAUAUCACCCAAAACUUGCAUGGAGCAAGUAGAAAUUAUAGAUACGUUUGGGACGUAUCAGACACCAUCGUUGUUGCCGACACCCACUGGAGCACUACCACCAGCCACGCCCGACCUCUCUGCCCCGAGCAAUGACCACGCCACCUCUCUUGUAAGCCAUCGCUGCCCUCGGUUGUCCAAUUUAUUUUGAUGCUCUGGAUUAGAUCUAUAUGAAGGGGUAGGGUUUCUUAGUAGAUUAGUAUCAUCCCGGUUAAUCUCUAGUUUUAUAAAAAUAAAUGCCAAGUUUUGUGUUAAUUAGCCGUCGACGACCGGAAUCCUUAAUUACCGGUCAUCCGCGUGGAUUGAACGCUCGUAGCCACUCACAUAGCGUCGCGUGUCCAUGGAUGACCCUUAGUCUUAGUUUUCUUUUUUCUGUUUUAAUUUAUUUUAUAGAUUUAGUUUUGAUUUUAGAUUUCUUACAUAUUUUAGAGUUCAACGUUUUUGAUUGAUUCUUUUUUGUAGUUGCAAAAUUCUAUGUAGUUUCUCUUUGUGCAGUUAUUUUUCAAAUUUGAAUAGUUAUGUUCAAAUUUGCUCAAAUCAAAAAUUUGUGAAUAACUUGAGUUUAAAAAUAGAUUAUUUUUAAUUGAUUCUUUUUGCUUCUCGUCAGUAAUUGUAUUGUUUUGAAGUAGGAGUAACUAGGGUAAUUGUGGAAUAUUUUAAAUUAGGGUUUUAGUAGAAACAAUAGUAUUUUAACUUUGUUUUUGGUUUUGUAUUAUUCUUUUACUUUUAAUUGAUUUUUUAUUAUUUUCUUUUGUCACUUCUCACAAGUUUUUCUUUGUUUCUCGUAGUUAACACUAGACCUUUUUAUUUGUAGUUAAAAUAAUUUUAUUAUUAUGUUUCCUUUAGUUUUGUAUGAAAGCCUUACAUAGGUUAUAAGUAGGGUUUUACAAAACUUUUUUAUUUGUUUCUUUUUGCUAGUAAAAGUUUAUGAAAAAUACUUUCUGUUAAAUUAGUUGUUUAUAUUUUUAUUUCCUAUUAAUUUACUAGUUUAGUAUUUUCUUUGUUGUAAAGUUUUAGUAGGUUCUAUAUAGUUUUUCCUAUUAGUUUUGUUUUGAAGUUUUCGUUGGUUUGUAUUGGGUUUUCUUAUUGACUUCUUGAAUUCAUCUUAUUUGUCGAUUGUUAUUUUGAAUGCUAGAAUGUUCGCAUAUAUAAAUGCUAUGUAUGUUUAAUAUAGAUUUCAUCGGAGUGACGAAUAGUUCUACGGAGUCUUUUUCUAAGGGUGUUAUAAAUCUUAACCAACUUACCAUGCAAGUUCACUUUGACCAUUUUAUUCAUACCUAUGUUUUUAUUGCAUUUAGUGUUACGUCCAACGAAUUUCUCCAGUAGUGAUAUUGAAUUCUUGUAGUUGAGUAGAAUGCAUGAGGUAGGAACCCAUCGCCCUAUUAUCAAUCCCCGGGGUGUUAUUUAGUUUUAAUGCUACACUAUCGUAGACAGGGUUUGGUAUGAGUGUUUGUGAGUGGUGCGAGAAGGAGGACUCUAUGUCAAAGACGACUACUUCAUGAUGGCAUCAUCAAGGCAUGCAUCUUCAAGACCUAAAGAUUUCAAUACUCGAGACAAGAUUUCAAUACGUGGAGGAUGGUUUGAUGGGCACCCUCGAGUAACCAGUGGAUGGCUGGGAUGCAUGGAUAAGAGCCAUGACAUCUUGGAGAAAUCUUCACCCAAACUCAAAGAGACGGAAGAAUACUUCAUGUCCGGAAACUUACUUGUGCAGCCACAAGUCAUUAUGGGCUCUGGCUUGGUUGACCUUAGUUGUGACUUUGGCUGGGACAGUGCUAGCAGAUGUAGUUGAUGGUAGGAUUGGAUGGGCACGGAACAAUGAUCAUGGGAACUGUUUGAACGACUAUGUUUCAUUCAUCCUGUUCUCAAACACCCGACAGUGCGAGGACUUACAAGGAAGGAAUGACUUUUGUGGGUAAAGUGCACAACACUUUACAAAGUUAAAACCUAAUCGAUUAGAUGUGUCCCCGGCUACAGAAAAUUUGAGCCUCUCGACUUGUAUCUAUGUCUGAACUCUCAACAUCGGAUUGAUAACUAAUUGUGGGCAACUUAUGAUACUUGUGGGCUAUGCCACAUCGGUUGGUGGAACCAUGCCAUGGAAGAGAAAUAUGUAGCGAAGACUCCUGAUAUUCCAUUGUUGUAGGAAAAAGAAAAUAAAACCAACAUUUAUGCAAAAAUUCAGACACAAAAGCACAAAGCCUUAUUGCAUGUAGAAUAGUGUUUACCAUCCACUUCUUUUGUGAUAUUGCCACUACAUUCAAUGUACUGACCUGGACGGUUGCAACAUCUUAUGUUGCACAUAUUUUAUGAUGAGUAAGAGCACACUAUGGGGUUACGGUCUACACCCAACUUGUCGUUGGCGUUGAUGGGACUUCACAUCCUAAAUGAUUUGUUUCUGCUAUGAUAUAAGGUAUACUAUGGAUCUACUGUAUUUAUUUUACAUGUGAUGUUAUGGUAUUUCAUUGAAUUACUAUGUGUGCCAACACACUGAUCUAGGGAUGGCACAAAAAACACAGAAGCACGGAUCCAUUUGGGUCAGGUCACUACAAUGCAUCUCCAACAAUCUUUGGGUCCAUUAACAUAUGAAUUUGAGCCUCUAUGACCUCCCAGAAAUGCAAUCGGUGUUUACAAGAUUCAUCAAACUCACAGGGAUGGAAAUUCAAUAACACAGUGAACUGGUCAGCAAAGCAAGUAUUCUUUUCUUCCUCGGUCACCCAUUUAAUGACCCAAGUGUUGCAAUCCGCAAAAUCUCGUGAGAUAUAUAAGGUGACAUAGAACUGAAGAAUAACUUAUCGGUUCUAGCCAUGAUUGAAGUGCGGGAAUCCCUUUAGAAAGUCUCGCUUGAUCUGUUAAAAGGUUUGGUGAAAGCACAAUAAACUUUCAAGUUCAAAAAAUUCAAGAAUUUUGUGCUUGAAGAUGUGAUUAUUGAAGUACAGAAGACGGGCAUAAUAUAAAACAUGUUCCUCAGUCUAGAACCAUGGUGACAGAGAUGUUCUCUCCCCUUCAUAUGGACUAGUUAAGAAUAGGGAAAGCUUUGACUGGUGAACCUGCUCGUUGAAGGUUGGUCCAUUCAGACCGGUUUCGAUAGGAAACAAGGGAAGGUUUCCAAAGGAUUCAACAGUGAUUCUUAUUCAACCAGGUGUUGAGUCUGAACAUCAUUUGCAGUAGGCACUUCUUCUUGAGUUGGCUUAAGUGGAGCAUGUGACUUCCUUGAUUUUCCUUUUAUGGAUGGCUUUUGAAGGACUUGAGGGGCCAUCAUUCUUGCUCGCUAGAACUCCUCAACACGCAAAGGCACAAUGACCUCUUUCUCGGAACCAUGAGUAACUGUGGAUGGAGCAAUAUCUUGAGUCAUCGGUCAUCAAGUUUAUUUUCUUCCUCUCUGACUAAGAAACAGUGGAACGAGGAGCGAUAUCAACAUCCAUCCAAGUAGGACCAUCACACGAUGUGACCAGGGUGUUUUCUCUCGAGAAGCAUUUUGCCCCCCCCCCCUCAAUACGAUCUUUCCCCUCCUUCCUUGGACCGGAGGGCUCAACUGAAAAAUAUUUCAUAGGAGAUGGAAUUUCUUUCUCAACCUCAAUAUCUUCAUUAGUUUCUUCAACUCGAGCUUGCUCCUUUGGUAAUUCAUUUCCAUCAACAAAUUUCUCUAAGAAGAGCUUUAGAUUGCUGCUUGUGGGCUACUGGUUAUGGAAUGAUGGCUUCAUUGGCACAAACUUGAUGCAAGGUUUCUUCCUCAUGAGACGGAGAGGAAGGUACACUUUGCAAGGGAGCACUUGAGCUCAGAGGGACAACAUCAACAACAAUAGUUAUGAGGUGGUGAUGUUUGUUUUCUUUCGGCUUGGUAGCUCUUGCCCUAGCCUUCUCACAUUUUUCUUCCUUAACUCUUCGUCGAGCAAGAUUAUCCUGACGCUCGAUUUGAUCAUUUCAUCUGUCACAAAGCUGAGAGAGAUACAUUUGGGAGUGCCACUCAACUUUGUUACUGUGAAUCACACGCAAGGGUUUGUGACACUCGCAGUUUCUUUGUUCACGCAUUUUGCUCAUUUUAGUAUUGGUCUCUUUCUUCAUUCUCUCCAGCUCUUCCUUAUCUUUCACUACUUUGUUGAGCUCCUUCGAGUUUUUCUUCAACUCAGCGAGAUGUUUGGCUGCAAGUUCCACAACAUCUUCACAAAGACCCCGACUACACAGGUCUACAAACUUGACAUCAUGGGCUGAAAUUUCAAUUAUGUUGUUGAAGUAUAUGAAAUCAUAGUUCUUUGGUUCCUCUAUGGUAGCAGGAACAUUUGACUGGCCUUCUUGGCAGACGCAACAUUUUCUUUGGCAACCUAAAGUUUUCUCUUCGCUUCAGCUUUGGUCAAACUCUUCGUGUUGGAAAUAUGCCCUAGAGGCAAUACUAAAAUAGUUAUUAUUAUAUAUCAUGUUUCAAGAUAAUCAUUUAUUAUCCAUGCUAUAAUUGUAUUGAAUGGAAACAUAAAUGCAUGUGUGGAUAUAUAGACAAAACAAUGUCCCUAGUGAGCCUCUAGUUGACUAGCCUGUUGGUCAAGGAUGGUUAAGGUUUCCUAGCCAUAGACAAGUGUUGUCACUUGAGAAGGUUUUUGCACCUCAAGCCUUCGUGCAGCCCUCUCGCCCUCCACUACUUCGUGACACCUUGUAGCUAGAUCGGUACGGCACGGCGAAUCCCUACACAAGUAGCUUCACCAUCAUCACCGCCACGCCAUCGUGCUACCGGAGAACUCACCUACCUCUUCGUCUCUCUUGCUAGAUAAAGAAGGCGGAGAUCAUCAUCGAGAUGUACGUGUGCUGAACAUAGAGGUGCCAUCCAUUCGGCGCUAGAUUGGGACAGAUCGUGAGACGAUGGCGAUUUGGAUCGUGAAGACGUUCCACUACAUCAACCGCAUUUCUUAAUGCUUCCCGCUUAGCGAUAUGCAAGGGUAUGUGGAUCCGAUCUCCCUCUCGUAGAUGAUCAUCACCAUGAUAGGUCUUCGUGUGAGUAUGAAUUUUUUUGUUUCCCAUGCAAUUUUCCCCAACAGUGGCAUCAUGAGCUAGUUUCAUGCGUAGAUGAUAUCUUGAAUAGAACACAAAAGAGUUUGUGGGCGUUUAUGUUCAAUUUGAUGCCCUCCUUAGUCUUUUCUUGAUUCAACGGCAUUGUUGGAUUGAAGCGGUCGGACCAACUUUACUCGUACGCUUACGAGAGACCCGUUUCAUAGACUGACAUGCAACUUGUUGCAUAAAGAUGAUUGGAGGGUGUCUGUUUCUUCAACUAUAGUUGAAUCGGAUUUGACCGCGGCGGUCCUUGGAGAAGGUUAAAUAGCAAUUUUUGUUGGAAUUAUCCCCUAGAGGCAAUAAUAAAUAUAGUUAUUAUUAUAAUUCCUGUAUCANNNNNNNNNNNNNNNNNNNNNNNNNNNNNNNNNNNNNNNNNNNNNNNNNNNNNNNNNNNNNNNNNNNNNNNNNNNNNNNNNNNNNNNNNNNNNNNNNNNNGAGAGGAACCCCGCUGAUGAACCUGUUCGCGUUGAGGAUAUGUCAGCAGGCGAAGUUUUCAACAACCAUGCGACCACAACUGAUGUUGCCGGAGAAGGAGUGCCCCGUCUCAACAAGCAACCAUGGGUAAGACCUCUUGCCGUUUAAUAUCUUUAUUUUCUCUUUUUUGUCUUCUUAACUUAUUCUAAGUCCAAUUUUAUUCAUUCUUUGAUUUUGUAGAUCUACUCUUAGUGGACGAUGUGAACGUGGACACCCGCACCGAGGAGGCACCAAAGAAGCGGCCACUGAGCCCAGCCGAGCUGCUGCAAUGACGGAACCGCCAACAAGGCUGCUAAGGAGGGCGACAAGAAGGCUGCUGUGGAACGUGUGUCGGAGGCGACCGUGGAUACUGAAGACAUUUUUGUCUCAAGAGUGCCCGACAAAGGCAAGCUCGUCAUGACGGAGAUAGCCGAUAAGGAUGCUGUUGAACCAUCAUCAUCUGAAGUACCCGCUCCUAGCAAGUACCUCAAGGUCAGCAACUUGCAGUUCGUCAGCGUUCCCAACGAGGCAAUUUUCCAAGAUUUCUCUAGAGAAGGAGCCCUUAAUGAUGUCGUCGCCACAACUGGAGGGCUAAUAACUGUUAAUCCUUUUGGUGGCACUGAUGAAGCCAAGGAGCAUGCCCUUCUUUCUUCCAUUGACAAAUACCUCAAGCAGCUCUAGACUGAUGAAGCCAAGGAGCAUGCCCUUCUUUCUUCCAUUGACAAAUACCUCAAGCAGCCCUAGGCUCUUUACAAAAACCAUUCGGAGAGGUUGGAUCGUCUGGAAGCUAUUCUUCUCGAAGGGGAAGCCAGGUUCAAUGAGCGUAUUGACGAGACGUGCACUUCGUUCACCCAGAGCUGUUAAGACCUCAAUAAUCGGUAGUAUAAUCUCACCAAGGCAAUGGAGGAGUUCUUUUGCCUAAAAGGCCGAGGCAGAGGCAGAGUGGGAGGAGGCUGGUGAAAGGAUUGCUAUUACUGAUGCAUAUCUUAUCAAGCGCAAGGACCAGCUCGACUCACAUGAAGAAGAUCUUGCCGCCCGAGAAACGCCAUCUCUGCCAAGCUCGAGACCGAGCAUGAUAAGCAGAUCCAGGAGUUCGAGCACAGGCACAAGGAUGCCCUCGGGAAGCAACUUGCGGAAUAUGCUGGCAAGCUCCAGGAGGCCAUUGAGACUGCUAAACUUACUCAAGCUACCAAGACCGAAUUGGAAGGCAAAGUGAAGAAAAUGCAAUCUGAUCUAGCCGCUUGUGGAAAAGAAGUCUUGAGGUUGACGGUCGACAUCCAGAAGACAACUUGAACCUUGACGGACCUCGAGGUUGCACUCUCGGACGAGACCAAAGAACUAUCUGUUUCCGCCAACCUCAACUUGAUCUGAAGGUGAAGGUGAGAACCUAUGAGGACAACCUUGAGGCUGCGAAAAAUAAGGAGCAGGCCCUGCUUGAAAACCUUGAGAAGGAGAAGGAUAUGCUUAGUUCUACUACCCAGGACUUCAAUGAACUGAAGCAUAACUUGGGAGUGUGGACGAAGCAACUCAUGAUCAUUGUCGGCAAGCUCUCCACCCAGCUUGCCACCAAGUGCGUUGGAAAAUGUGACUUAUCCUAGGACGGCACGAAGGCCGCGAGCGCCAGGUUACCCAUCUUAUUAGAGAAGCUUGUAGGGGCACUCUAGAAGUACAAGGAGGGCCGGUCUGACAACUUCCUCAAGGGGUCCCGCAAGCUGCGUCGUGGUGUUCUCCACAAGAUAUUGGUGAAAUUCGCCUUCCACAACCUCGUUAUCAACCUAUCCAAGGCCUUCUCCAAGUUGUUAAAGAUCGUCGACACCAUCGCCAUCGAUGCCCUUGUCGCUCCUAUCUCCGAGAGGGUUGGCUUAGUAACUUUGAAGAAAUCAACCCAUCUUGUUCCAUUCUUGUCGCUAGCGUUGUGCAUGUACCACAAACAUUUGUCUUGAAUUAGCACCGCACCUUCGUUUUUUAUGUAAUAUAUUAUGUUUGUUGGAAUGNNNNNNNNNNNNNNNNNNNNNNNNNNNNNNNNNNNNNNNNNNNNNNNNNNNNNNNNNNNNNNNNNNNNNNNNNNNNNNNNNNNNNNNNNNNNNNNNNNNNGGGGUAUGGCAUUUUCUUGAUUGCAUCGACCUUAGCCUUAUGGACUUCAAUACCUCUUUCAGAAAUUUUAUGUCCUAAGACGAUGCCUUCAUUAACCAUAAAGUGCCACUUCUCCCAAUUCAAGACAAGAUUGGUGUCUUUACAUCUCUGCAAGACUCGAUCAAGGUUGCUGAGGCAAUCAUCAAAGGAAGACCCAUAAACGGAGAAGUCAUCCAUGAAAACCUCAACAAUCUUUUCACAAAAGUCAGAGAAUAUAGCCAUCAUACAUGUUUGAAAGGUGGCAGGUGCAUUACAUAAGCCAAAAGGCAUACGUCUAUAAGCAAAGGUACCGAAAGGGCAGGUGAAAGUGGUUUUCUCCUGAUCAGAUUGUGCAACUGGUAUUUGGGAGAAACCAGAAUAACCGUCUAGAAAGCAGAAGUGUGUGUGUUUGGACAACCUUUCUAGCAUUUGGUCGAUAAAAGGUAAAGGGUAAUGAUCUUUCCUAGUGGCUUUAUUCAGUUUCCUAAAAUCGAUCACCAUCCUAUAGCCAGUAAUAAUCCUCUGUGGGAUCAAUUCAUCCUUAUCAUUAGGGACAACGGUAAUGCCUCCCUUCUUAGGGACGCAAUGCACCGGACUCACCCAAUCGCUGUGAGCAACAGGAUAAAUGAUACCUGCUUCCAGGAGCUUUAGUAUUUCUUUUCUUACUACCUCUUUCAUCUUAGGAUUCAAUCUCCUUUGGUGAUCAACAACUGGUUUGAAGUCAGGAUCAGUUUUAUCUUGUGCUGGCAUAGAGUGGGACUAAUACCCUUAAGAUCAUCAAGAGUAUAUCCAAUAGCAACACGGUGCUUCCUCAGAGUUUUUAGUAACUUCUUUUCUUCAUGCUCUGAGAGGUUAGCACUAAUAAUAACAGGAUAUAUCUCCUUUUCAUCAAGAUAGGCAUACUUAAGAGUAUCAGGCAACUGUUUAAGUUCGAACACAGGAUCACCCUUCGAUGGGGGUGGAUCCCCAAGCAGUUCAACAGGCAAGUUAUUCUUAAGAAUAGGAUAUUGUUCUAAGACAACUCUAUCUAUCUCAUCCCUUUCAUCCAUAUGCAUAUCAUUUUCAUGCUCAAGCAAGUAUUUCUCUAAGGGAUCAGUAGGAGGCACGGCAAUAGAGGCUAAGGCAAUAGUUUCAUCCCUACUAGGCAACUCUUUUCAUGAGGUUGUCUACCAAACUUAGAGAAAUUGAACUCGUGUGACACACCUUCAAAGCCAACAAUGACAGUUUGCUUCUCACAAUCAAUAUGAGCAUUGACGGUAUUGAGAAAAGGUCUACCAAAUAUGAUGGGACAAAAGCUAUCUUGUGCGGUAACAAGAACGAGGAAAUCAGCAGGAUACUUCGUUUUACCACACAAGACUUCAACAUCCCUAACAAUUCCCACAGGGCAGAUAGUAUCUCUAUUGGCAAGCUGAAUAGUGACAUCAAUAGGCUCUAUCUCAACAGGUGCAAUCUCAUCUUUGAUUUCAUCAUAUANNNNNNNNNNNNNNNNNNNNNNNNNNNNNNNNNNNNNNNNNNNNNNNNNNNNNNNNNNNNNNNNNNNNNNNNNNNNNNNNNNNNNNNNNNNNNNNNNNNNCAGCGGUACUACCGCCAGGGCGAGGCCCUCAAAUUUAUUCAGCAACUUGGCAUUCAGGACAUCAUCACCUUCCAUAAUGACUUUGAUCCAGAGAUUGUGGCCCAGUUCUAUGUUACCGUUCACUUCCACUCUAAUGAAGAUCACACUAUGACUUGGAUGACGCGUGGCCAGAAAUUGACCGGAACUUGGGUUGAGUUCAUGCAGCUCCUGAAGGUAGAAGACCAGGGGUCACAGACUGCUAUUGGUUUGCGUCCUCAUAACUAACCUAGCCCCACCCCUAAGAACAGGCUGCAACAUCUCUAUGUGAGGAAGAAAGUGCUUCCCCCGCACCUAGAUAUUAUGCACCGGAUUUUUCGCAACACGUUGUUUCCUCGUAUUGGCAACAAGGACGAGGUUCACUCCUAUCUGGUGGAUUUGCUUCUGCUGCGUGAGGAGGCAAGGUCGAAGGACAUCAGGCAUCUCGACAUAUCUGAUGUGAUGUUCAAUUAGCUCAAGAAUUGCAUCCUGCACCGUAGGGUUCCCAUCUAUGGGCCUUACCUGUUCUAUUUUAUCCAGAAGAAGUGGGCAGAAUCCUAUCCAGAUGUACCUCUCCCUAUUGAAGCUGACUAUAUCACUCAUGAUCCUAUCAAGCUACGUCAGAAGGAUAAAUGUGCCAUCAGCUCAACGUCUUCUCAGCCCAUGGAGACUGACACCGAGACUGCUGCUACUGGAGGAGGCCCUGUGUUGCAUACUCGCUCCUCUGCUAUGCCAUCGUGGGCUGUGAAGCUGAAAGAUCAGAUGAAGACCCUCUUCUGCAUCCAGGCCAAGGGACAGUAUCAGUCUCAUGUGGCCCAGAAGCAGAACCGUCAGAGGCACAAGCGUGUCUUGAGGACCCUUGAUGUGGAGAUCUCGAGCGGCUCUGAGGACAUCAUCACUCCGGAGACUGACUGGAUGAGGGCUCAAGGCUACCAGUGGGAUGGGUCCGAUAUUGAAGAGGAGGUUUCUGACGAGGAUGCUAAGGACGAGGAGGAUGAGGAGCAUGCAAAUGCUACGGACGAGUCUGAUGUGUGUGCUUGAGUGACCACCUGUGUUCUAGGUGUCCUCUCUGUCCCUUUUUGGCGUCUUGAUGCCAAAGGGGGAGAGAGGGUGUAGGGAUUUGCUUUGCUUCUUGAUGCCAAAGGGGGAGAGAGUGUGUAGGGAUUUGCUUUGCUUUAUCUUUAUCGUUGCUUUGCUUUUUGAGUCUUUCUGUGCUGAACUUGGUUGGUUUUAUCGUGUUGGAUUACUUAUCAUGGUUGUGAGACUGUUUUAAUCAUAUGGUGUGAGACAUAUGCUAUCCCUAAAUUAUCCUUAUUAUUAUCUUCUUAUCUCCCCAUAUGAUAGCCGUGAGUUAAUUAUNNNNNNNNNNNNNNNNNNNNNNNNNNNNNNNNNNNNNNNNNNNNNNNNNNNNNNNNNNNNNNNNNNNNNNNNNNNNNNNNNNNNNNNNNNNNNNNNNNNNNNNNNNNNNNNNNNNNNNNNNNNNNNNNNNNNNNNNNNNNNNNNNNNNNNNNNNNNNNNNNNNNNNNNNNNNNNNNNNNNNNNNNNNNNNNNNNNNNNNNNNNNNNNNNNNNNNNNNNNNNNNNNNNCCUGGACCAUAGACUUUGGGUUUGCUGUUAUAUUCAGUAUUCUUUCUUUUGUGCAAAUCCGGUAUUGUCAUCAAUUCACCAAAACGGGAGAGAUUGUUAGGGCAUAUUUAUGCCUAAGUGAUUUUGGUGAUUGAUGAAAGUACCUCAGUGGACUAAUCGUGUGCAUUGAGCAUUUCAGAUNNNNNNNNNNNNNNNNNNNNNNNNNNNNNNNNNNNNNNNNNNNNNNNNNNNNNNNNNNNNNNNNNNNNNNNNNNNNNNNNNNNNNNNNNNNNNNNNNNNNCAGAGAAGGCCUAGAUCUACACUUCCACCAAGAGAAAUUUGAUUCCCCCCACUAAUCCCUUGCGGAUCUUGUUAUUCUUGGGUGUUUGAGCACCCUAGACGGUUGAGGUCACCUCGGAGCCGCAUUCCAUUGUGGUGAAGCUCCGUGGUCUUGUUGGGAGCCUCCAAGCUUUGUGUCGCAUUCCAUUGUGGUGAAGCUCCGUGGUCUUGUUGGGAGCAUCCAAGCUUUGUGUGGAGUUAGCCCCAACCUUGGUUGUAAAGAUUUGGUCGCCACCUUCAAGAGCACCUACAGUGGAAUCACGACACCUUGCAUUGUAUGAGGGCGUGAGGAGAAUACGGUGGCCCUAGUGGCUUAUUGGGGAGCAUUGUGCCUCCACACCGCUCCAACGGAGACGUACUUCCUGUCAAAGGGAAUGAAUUUUGGUAACACAUCCUCGUCUUCAUCAGUUCCACUUGUGGUUAUCUCUAACCUUUACAUUGUGUAUAUAUUGUUGUAGAGUAUUUCUUACUUGCCUUAGCCAUUAUAGUUGGUAGCAUCAUAUAGGUUGAUCACCUAGUUGUCAUUCUAGAGAACCUUUAUGUUGCUAACCCUAACUUGUUAAGAUUUGUUAAAAAGUGGUAGUUGCCUAUUCACCCCCCUCUAGUCAACCAUAUCGAUCCUUUCAAUUGGUAUCAGAGCCACAUCUCUUCGUUAAGGGUUUCACCGCCCGUAGAGUAUGGAUGAGGAUGAGGGAGGAACCCAUGGGCAACCCGAGGCCAUGGCCUUGACUUCGAUCACCAGAGACGACUUGAAUGCGGCUAUGGCCAAUCUCAGGACUCCUUGACGAACGAAGUCAAGACCAUGUUUAAAGAGUUAAUUGAGGGAAUUAAAAGUUUUCCCGAACCGACGUUGGUGGCUAAACCCGUCAACACGAAUUCGGAGGCCAAUUCCUCCAAGGAAGCGGCUAAAGGUAUGCAACCUGCUUCCCCUCAUGAUAUUAAUGGGACUGGAACCUAUACAUGAGUUCCACCUCCCAUGGUCUAUGGAGGGUCGGUUCCUACUUCGCGUAUUAAUCCUGUAGGUCCUCCUCCUAAGCUUUUUAAGGGUGAUUUUGCUAACUCGGUAUUUUCCAUUAAGUCUCAUUUGAAUCACAGCUCAACAAAUUUAUGGAGAAUCAUUGAGCAAGGCUACUAUCCGCAUGAUCCAAGCAACCUCACUCCAAGAGAAGAAGCGGACAAUCAAUACAAUCCCUCCGCAUUGUUUGUUCUCCAGUCCGCAGUGCCUCAUGAAGAUCUUCCUCACUUGCGCCCCUUCACUUUGGCUAAGGACUGUUGGGAGCACAUUAUGAUUCUGUACAAGGGAAUCUCAAGCAUUCAACGGUCAAACUAUGAAGUGGUGCUUUAUGAGGCCGAUGAGUUUGUGAUGAAGGAAGAUGAGGACCCUCAUGAUCUCUAUCGAAGGGUGACUGCUGUUGCUGUUGCUCUCAAGGAUCAUGGGAGCAAGGAUGUGGAUGACACAUGGAUCAAGCGCAAGUUUCUCAAGGCCAUCAUGCCAUUUAGCAAAGCCAUGUCAUCCGUCAUUCGCCAACGACCAGAUUUCCACUCCUUGUCCUCCAGUGAGGUGUUGGAUGAAUUCAUUGCAAUGUCAAUCAUGAACAAGACCACUGACAAUGCACUUGCUCGCGUUCGGUCAAAGACAACUUCACCCAACCUUGCUUGAAAAGCAAAGGCUGCUUCUGAAGAAGAAGAAGAGGAUGAGGAAGAGGAGAGCUGCCCUGAAGACACUAAGUAUGCUUAUCACGAGCACAUGUCUCUUGAGUCAAGGCAAUUCUGGGGCAACAAGAGAAACUCAAGGCCCAACUUCUCCAAGAAUAACUCAAGUGGGUUCAAGACCAAGCAACGUGUGAGGACAUGCUGUAACUGCGGCAAUGUGAGUCACUUCAUGGCAGAAUGUAAGACAAUGGGGGCAAGCUCAUUCGCAAAGACAAAGCCAAGUCUUUCCCAAACAAGAACAACUUUGUCAAGAAACCCCAUCCAAAGGGUAUGGUGGCACUUGACGAGUACCCCUCCGAUGAUGAUGACGAUGACGAUAUGGUGGCAACUACGACUCCAGCCAUUGCCACCCCUUCUCCCAAGAUGUCUCUCUUCAACGCCCCCAACGAUANNNNNNNNNNNNNNNNNNNNNNNNNNNNNNNNNNNNNNNNNNNNNNNNNNNNNNNNNNNNNNNNNNNNNNNNNNNNNNNNNNNNNNNNNNNNNNNNNNNNGGUUGGAUAUCUACCGUCAAAAACUAUCGCGAUCCCAUAUACUUGUGGGUUAUCAAUCACCUUGUCAUUCUUGCCGCAACUACUUUGGUUGUUGAGCGGAAUUGAAAUAACCUAAGAUCACAAACAAUCUAGACAAGGGUCCUAUGCGUGCAGGUUUCCUCAUACAAAUGUUGAAAUUAUUCAAGGGAAAAUGGCCACAACAAAGAAUUUNNNNNNNNNNNNNNNNNNNNNNNNNNNNNNNNNNNNNNNNNNNNNNNNNNNNNNNNNNNNNNNNNNNNNNNNNNNNNNNNNNNNNNNNNNNNNNNNNNNNNNNNNNNNNNNNNNNNNNNNNNNNNNNNNNNNNNNNNNNNNNNNNNNNNNNNNNNNNNNNNNNNNNNNNNNNNNNNNNNNNNNNNNNNNNNNNNNNNNNNNNNNAAAAGAGGAGGCUAGGAACUUUGCCGGCUCAACCAUCAUUUCACACAAGUUGCUGUGAUCACAACAUACAUAAAGUAAAUAUGUACUUUGACAAAAAGGCGCAGAACACUUAGCUAUAUUGAUUUUUUUGCAAAGGGUCUUCGCCUCACUUUGUACAAAGGUUUACAUGCCUUGCCAGCAGACUCGUACAAAAGGGGUUGCCACAGGGAGUCCCGACAACUNNNNNNNNNNNNNNNNNNNNNNNNNNNNNNNNNNNNNNNNNNNNNNNNNNNNNNNNNNNNNNNNNNNNNNNNNNNNNNNNNNNNNNNNNNNNNNNNNNNNNNNNNNNNNNNNNUCGAGUGCCAUCUUCGGUCUCGAGGCGGACUGCACCGGUCCUGGUGACUCAUACUACCGGUAAGGGCCUUCCCACUUUGGUGUCAACUUGUUUGAUCCCUUCGCGGACUGAAUCUGUCAAAGAACAAGGUCAUCUUCCUCAAUGCUUCUCGUGUGCACCUUGCGGCUUUGAUAAUGAUGCAAGGCUUGCUGGUACUGAGCGACACAUAUGGGCAGCCCAAAGACCAUCUUCCUUGAGGAGCGUGGCAUCAUCUUGCCGCAGUUUCUCGUGCUGGUCUUCAUCGAAGGCUUGUACUCGAGGUGACCCGUAUGUGAGUUCUGCAGGUGGCACUACUUCUGCAACAUAUACCAGGGAGAAUGGUGUCUUGCCAGUGGCUCGAUUUUCUGUCGCCUUGAGUGACCAAAGAACCGCCAACAAUUCAUCAAUCCAGCGCCUUUCGUGCUUGUGCAACUUAUCGAAAGUUCUUGUCUUAAGGCCACGCAACACUUCAGCAUUAGCCCUCUCUACUUGGACAUUGCUUCUGGGGUGAGCAACGGACGCAAAGCAAAUCUAUGUGCCAAGGUCUUGCAGUACCGCAUGAAGGAGUGGUUCAUGAAUUAUGUGCCGCUGUCGGUGAUGAUCCUGUUGGGCACACCAAAAUGAUAGACUAUUCCUUUGAAAAACUUGACGUCUGCUUGUGUUGUCACCUUUCUCGCUGGUUCUAGCUCAGUCCACUUCAUAAACUUUUCAAUUGCAAAGAACAAUAAUUUGAAGCCNNNNNNNNNNNNNNNNNNNNNNNNNNNNNNNNNNNNNNNNNNNNNNNNNNNNNNNNNNNNNNNNNNNNNNNNNNNNNNNNNNNNNNNNNNNNNNNNNNNNGACGCGGUAAGGCCCGCGGUACAUCCAAGCUAACUCUUCCAGCGCUGUAUCGACGGAAGUGGGUUCGGCCUUGUCAAGCCGCGAGAAGGGGCGACGGAUCCGGUUGAGAUCCCCCCUCCGAGGCGAGGGAGGGGUGUAGCCGGGCCGCAUCAGUGAAGGAAGCACUCAGUCCGAGCCGGGGGAAUCGCCAUCCGAUUCAAUUCCCCCGGGCUUGUGACUAGGCCCGGCCCCCUCACCGUCGUCGUCCCCCUCGUCACUGCCGCUCGAAGUGGAGCUCCCAAUGCCGCUCGGGAUCCCUUCACAACAGUCGAGAAGCACACGUGGGGCCCCCCUNNNNNNNNNNNNNNNACAACAGUCGAGAAGCACCCGUGGGGCCCCCCUAAAGCAACAUGGAGGGCCGCCACGGGAGCAAGCCUCGGGGAAGGCGGAGGCGUUGGAGUAGCGCUCUGCCUCCCCCGGCCUUGACCUCCGCGGCGACUUCGGCCCCUCGCCCUUCCUCCACCACGGGCGUUCGGGGCGCCUUUCGUCGUGGCACCCUCAGAAGUUGUGGCAUGAUCCGAACGAGAUCCCCUCGCCGCCCUCACGGCGACGGUGGCCGACCCCGUCCCCUAACCAUGGUUAGGGGCAAGCGGCACGAGCACACAGAAGAAGAUUCAGAAGGCCAGGAUCGAGUAGUUGGGGGAUUCAGAGGGAGUUGAGUGAGAAAAAUCACUUGCAAACCCUCCCAAUUUAUAGGGCGGGGCACGAGGGCUAGCCUCCCUUACUCCAGAAGCCACCACCCUCUACGACCAAUCGCUCGAGCUCACAGGCGAACCGAGAACCGCCUUGAUGUGCCAAUGCAUGCACGGGCGAGCCCAGCCAGUACUGCGUCUUUCAAAGCCUCGUUUGCCACCUGUCCAUCCAUGACUGUGCAUGCAACACGCAUGGCAGAGGUGUUUCAGGAGGCGGAGAGGCCACUCCGCGCACGACCUCCCACUUCGCACAUCCGAUGUGCGGCGUGGGGAAGGGAAACAGCCAACAGAUCCAGCCACAAAGGCCCGUGCACCUCUUUGGGCCUGGCCCAACAACGCUCUGCGCGCGUGUGUGGCCCAGGCCCGGGGGCUCCUGUCGGUGCACUAAAGACUGGGGGAUCUAGUGCCCCAGACUUGUGCACGGGCGCAAAGAGCCCCUGAUGGCAGGGUGUGGCAGAGUACAGACAAGAUGCACCCCCAAGAUAUCCAAGGCCCCGGCAAGCCUGCCUUGCCGGGAAAACACCCAAGGCCACGUCCGUUUAAUGGACGUGAUGAAUGCACCAAGCACAAGGUCCCGACGAGCCUCCCUUGCCGGGAAGAUAGCCGAAGCCCCCCCCGGCAANNNNNNNNNNNNNNNNNNNNNNNNNNNNNNNNNNNNNNNNNNNNNNNNNNNNNNNNNNNNUUCCUUGCCGGUACGAAGCACCAAGGCCCCGGCAAGCCCCCUUGCCGGGAUGAUGCUGCAAGGCACUAGAGGGCGACCGCCCUUGCCAAAGUGCCACCGCCCCCCGAGUUCCAACGCAUUCCGUAUGCGCCAGCGGGGCGUCCAGUUGUCAAAACACUUGGACACAUGUCUUCACCAGCACUUUGCUGACAAGGACAAGACGUGCAUUUAAUGCACCUAACAGCGGUAGAUGGAUAAGCACGGCUCUAGGUUCACUUUAACAUCUCGUGAACCUACCAUCAAGCACUGUAGGUGACCCCUUUGCCUAUAAAAGGAGGCCCUUAGCUCAUUCACAAGAGGUAACACUCUUUGGAGAUUGGCCAAGAAGACGGUUAUCAUCACUGUAACAAACAAUGAAAAACGCUUAAUACGAUCAGACGAGCAGGACGUAGGGUUUUACGCGUAAGUGGCCCGAACCUGGGUAAAAAGGCUUGCCGGGUGUUGAUCGUUAGAUCUGCUCUUGACGUUGUCUUUCCCCGCCCUACGAUCACAAGGGUGUUGAUCGUUAGAUCUUCUCUUGACUUGCUUCUUGCGCCGUAUUUUCAUUGGCGAUCUUUGGCUUGCUGCAGUUGAAUCUAGCUUGCCACCUGUCGUCUUAGGAUUCACCGCCUCUUCAUCCUCAGCUUCGGUUUUCUCCACUAGUGUAGCAUUAACCACUUGAUUUGUUGCCACCAAGUAUAGCAACAAUGACUCUUGUGGCUUAGGCGCAAGUAGAGUUGGUGUUGAGGACAUGUAUCUUUUCAAAUCUUGCAAUGCUAGCUCCGCUUCCGGAGUCCAUUUCAUUGGACCUGCCUUAUUCAAAAUCCUAAAAAAAUGGUAGGGUGUGUUCUGCAGAUUUAGAAAUGAACAUGCUGAGCNNNNNNNNNNNNNNNNNNNNNNNNNNNNNNNNNNNNNNNNNNNNNNNNNNNNNNNNNNNNNNNNNNNNNNNNNNNNNNNNNNNNNNNNNNNNNNNNNNNNCGGCCGCAGGCUAUUCGAGAUUACUACGCCACACGUGGUAUUAAGAAGGAGAAGAAGGAUUGCCGCGGAAAGUUUCUGAAGAAGGAGCAAUACAUGAAGGUAAUUACCUAUUCUUAAGUCCUUCUACGUAGUUUUCUUGAUUUCAUUCAUAGGCGUAGCGCUGAAAAUUCUUUCUAAUAACUUACAGGUGCCCCCGAGAUGGUGUGCGGAUAAGAUGGAUUGUUGGGAGGCGUUGGUUGAUGAGUGGUGCACAGGCAGCUGGCGAGCCGUCCACGAUAAUGCGAAGGAUCGGCGUAGCCAAAUGGUUGGUGUGCCACACCAUCAAGGCAGCGCCAACUUACUUCAGUUUGGACGAAACUGGGUAUGUGAUUUGCUUCAUGAUUCAUGCAAUUCAUUCUUAUGCUAAUAUUUUGUUCCUCUCUUUUAGGCGCAUCACAAUAAGACUGAGAUGCCACACUUGUACGACCUUUAUGGCAUGGCCCAUACUGCCUCGUACAAGAAGGCGAAGGCAUUCUCUGAGUCUGACCUGGAUGAUCCCAGUAACUUCACCAACAUAUCAUCCCACCAGAAGCUCGUGGCAUACAGGGACGCGGGGAAGGCUACGAAAGGGGAUGACUUUAACCCUAGCCAGGAACCUUUGGAUCCAGAGCUGGUGAUGAUAUCUGGUGGCGGGAGGCCACAUGGCUCGAUAGCCAUUGGAGAUGGGAUAAUACGUUGUCCACUCACUCUUCCGGAGAUCAAGGCGCGCCAGUCGAGCAACUGUCCUGAGAUAACGCGUCGUCCACGGCCAGUCGAACUUGCCAUCGAGGUUAGUUGUACGGACUAAGAACACUUUCAUCCAUUUCAUUAUGUGUGUCACCAUAGAUCAUUAGUGUGGUAACGAGGAAUGGUUUUUCAGGCUGCUCUUCAGAAAGAGAGAGCGGCAAACCAGGCUGCUCUUGAGAAAGAGAGAUUGGCAAGCCAGGCUGCUCUUCAGGCUGCUCUUGAUGAGAGGGACCAGAGCACGACACGAUUGCUUGAGGAGGAGAGGGCCGGAAUGAAGCGGGUCAACGGGCCCUGUACGAGCUUUUUGUGGUAUGUUUUUUUUCACAUUAGCCAAAUCAUGUGUGUAAUGUCUGUUUCAAUACUAACUAAUACGACCCACUCUUCAAGGUCUGUGNNNNNNNNNNNNNNNNNNNNNNNNNNNNNNNNNNNNNNNNNNNNNNNNNNNNNNNNNNNNNNNNNNNNNNNNNNNNNCGCCGAUGCCCGUCUUCUCUUCGAUUGGCACGGUGAGUUUCAUUAUAAACUAGUAUUAAUAAUUGAGUGUCAUCAUGCUAACUGAGACAUUGCAAAAUAUCUUUUCUGCAGAAUAACUCCCGAGCGGCAUCGCACGACCCUUCUCCAGGGCAACCGUCUCCAAACGAAGCCNNNNNNNNNNNNNNNNNNNNNNNNNNNNNNNNNNNNNNNNNNNNNNNNNNNNNNNNNNNNNNNNNNNNNNNNNNNNNNNNNNNNNNNNNNNNNNNNNNNNUCAUCAUAGCCGACCACCCCCUCUCUAAUACGGUUGAAAAGAUGCCUACAUAUACGGAAACGGCGACGGAAUUUUUGAUGUUUGAACAACGGGUUUGUUAUAUCAAAGUAGUCCUUCCAAAGAAGGAAAUGCCCGCUCUCUUGGUUGCGAUUCAACGUCAGAAGGUGGCCCGGAAUGGAGCCAUGGAACAACGGCCACUGGCUGUUGAGGUGGUGAUGGAUCAACACGGCAGCCAAUACCUCCUCCUCGUCAUCGAACGACGAAUCGUCGGAGUCGCAAAGGAAAUUGUGAAAAAAGAACUCGUCGGCAGAGUCCAUUUUGUACCUUGGCAAACUGUCGAACUACUUGCGGGCGUCGAUGAAGGAGACGGUCGACGAAGGGAGUCGCGCACGGACCAGCUAGCUGCCCUGCCGGCGUCCGACGAGUCGGCCGGUGUCCGACGAGCGUGCCGGUGAGGAUCUGACCGGGCGGCGAGGCGGCUUCUUGGUCGGGGNNNNNNNNNNNNNNNNNNNNNNNNNNNNNNNNNNNNNNNNNNNNNNNNNNNNNNNNNNNNNNNNNNNNNNNNNNNNNNNNNNNNNNNNNNNNNNNNNNNNNNNNNNNNNNNNNNNNNNNNNNNNNNNNNNNNNNNNNGGCGUUGCUGGGCGGAUGUGGAGGCGCCGACAGCUGGCAGAGUCGCCGGAAAAAUGGGCAGCGGCGGCGACGACGAAGGAGGCGGACGAGGGUUGGAUGGGGGAAGGCCAAUGUGCCACCGACCAGCUAGCCCGGGGGAAGAGAAGGCGAGCGUGCACGCCUGUGUCGCGUGGCCGCGUUGACGCAAAUCCGGCUCAAAAAUGAACCGGGAAUGGGUCGUCCGCGGACGAAAACCGGACGUGUGUUCGUUUGGGUCGGCGCGUUGGGCCGCCUUUUGUGUCCGCAUCGACCCAAACAGACGACGGCGAACGAAAUGGAUCGUCCCAUUGAAGUUGCUNNNNNNNNNNNNNNNNNNNNNNNNNNNNNNNNNNNNNNNNNNNNNNNNNNNNNNNNGCUCUUAUCGCAGUAAACUGCUGAGCAGCCACGUGAAACGGAGGCGAACAAAGGAAGCGCAGGUUGAGCCUCGUGUUUCAAUCAUACACAAAUCCAGGAAAAGUUGCAGCUUUUGACCUGCAUGAUUGUACUGCCCUAACCCCCAACGAUGCAACAGUACAAGCAGAGGCCGGUGCUUUGCAAAAGCAGGAUNNNNNNNNNNNNNNNNNNNNNNNNNNNNNNNNNNNNNNNNNNNNNNNNNNNNNNNNNNNNNNNNNNNNNNNNNNNNNNNNNNNNNNNNNNNNNNNNNNNNUUGAAAAGUUUGGCAUUAAGGUUACUUGGUUAGCCUUCAUCUUCAUCUUGUUGUGAAAGGAAUUGGAGCUCAUAUUCCUUCAUCCAUAGUUUCGACAGAAACAAACUCACUCCUGAACAUGUUGGGGAUUUAGUGUUCACACAAAACAACCUGUGUUUGCUUUCAAGACAAUCUGAGGCUUAUCAUGUUGGGCCAAGCCGGAUGUGGGAUGUGGGUGGAGAUGGGGUUGAGAGCUUCACUGGUGUUGGCAUGCUUGAAGGUGCUAAUUUGACACUUGAUGAACCUGAAUUGGAGGCUAAGAUCAUGUAUGCUCUCACUUGAGUUGUCCUCAUUUAGUUUAUGUUGUAAUGCACAAUUAUGCACUGUAUGACUAUGGGUCUAUGGCCAUGUGAGCCUUGUAUCUUUCUGUUGUUAUGUUGUAAUGCACUAGUUGACAUGGAUCUUCCUCUUUAUCAUGUUAUUUUUCUCUUAGUUUAUGCUACUGCUACAAGCCAACUUGUUUACUGCUUUUUCACUUUUCAUGCUUGUCUAUCUCAUAUUAUCAUGUCUAAUAUCAUGUGUUGCAUUUUCUAUUUUGCAUACAUCAUGAAGAGUUGAGGACCUCGAUGAUCAUUCAAUUCAAGACUAGAAAAGAAAGGAGGCAUGGAAGCAACCAAGCUACGCGUAGGACGGUAUUUUGAUCUCAUACCAUACAUUUUAUUAUGUUAGUUUUUAUUACAUGUCACUUUAUUAUUAUUCAUAUAUGCUCGCCGUGUCGUCAUAUUGAUGUUUAUGAANNNNNNNNNNNNNNNNNNNNNNNNNNNNNNNNNNNNNNGUCAUAUUGAUGUUUAUGAAAUUGUCAUAUCCCGUAUCGCCGUACCCUUGUCGCCGUACCGGUAUCGCCGUAUCGGUGCUUUCAGCGACCGGCGGCUCUUGCUCCGCCCGCAAAGAGUACACAUCCAACGGCACCCACGGGCCACGGCGCCUCGCUGCCACGCUCCAGCAAGGGGCAGGAGCCUAUCGUGAUCUCCUUCGACGAGGAGUAGANNNNNNNNNNNNNNNNNNNNNNNNNNNNNNNNNNNNNNNNNNNNNNNNNNNNNNNNNNNNNNNNNNNNNNNNNNNNNNNNNNNNNNNNNNNNNNNNNNNNUGGCAACGUGGAAACUUUGUUUAACACUGGUUCUAGAUAACUUGAAGUUAACUUAAUUAAAAUAUGCCAACUGCGUGCGUAACCGUGACUGUCUCUUUCGUGAGUUCCUUCUCCGAUCGAGGACACGGUGGGGUUAUGUCUGACGUAGGUAGGUGUUCAGGAUCAUUCAUUUGAUCAUCAGUAGUUCACGUCCGUUAUGCGUAGAUCUUCCCCCUCUUGUUUCUUGUACUCGUAAGUUAGCCACCAAAUAUAUGCUUAGCCGCUGCUGCAACCUCACCACUUAACCAUACCUCACCCAUUAAGCUUUGCUAGUCUUGAUACCUUUGGAAAUGAGAUUGCUGAGUGCCCUGUGGCUCACAGAUUACUACAACAACAGUUGAAGGUAGAGGUAAAGGUCACAUGACGCGAGCGCGUUGAUUGUUCAUUUGAUUACUACAACACCAGUUGCACGUACAGGUAAAGAUUACUUGACGCGAGCGCGUUGAUUGUUCAUUUGGAGUUGCUUCUUCUCCUUCUUCUUCAUCGAUCUAGGAUGGGUUCCAGGCCGGCAGCCUGGGAUAGCAAGGAUGGACGUCGUUCUUAUUUUCUCGUUUGUUUUCGUCCGUAGUCGGACCCUGCUCUUACUCUUGAUGAUUAUGUAACGUACUGAUGUG
rnacentral:lncRNA from 1 species